rnacentral:lncRNA from 1 species
GUCAUUGUAUCUCAAGUUCUUUUUUAUUUUAUACUCGAAGAUUUCAUAUUCUAUUGGGGGCACAGGGCUCUGCAUACCAAAUGGCUAUACAAGCAUGUCCACAGUGUGCACCAUGAGUAAGUGAUAUUUCUUCAUUAACCCGUAUUUGAUUUUACUACAUUAGUUUGUUACCAUUCUAACUUUUAAGACGAUAAAAUGUGAGCAGAUAUGCUACACCAUUCGGCUUAACUUCGGAAUAUGCACACCCUGCUGAAAUUUUGUUCCUGGGAUUUGCCACGGUUGUUGGUCCUGCCCUCACUGGCCCUCACUUGUUUACCCUUUGGCUGUGGAUGGUUUUGAGGGUGUUAGAGACGGUUGAAGCUCACAGUGGAUAUCACUUCCCUUGGAGCCCAUCAAACUUCCUGCCACUGUAUGGAGGGUAAGUAAACUAGAAUUUGCAAAUGUGGUACCUGAUGGUAGGGAAGUUCUAUUUUCUCAUUUGAUAGGUUGCGUUUAACUGAGUUGUGAAUAUUUUCUCAUGAGCAGCUCUGACUUCCAUGACUAUCAUCAUCGUGUGCUCUACACCAAGUCAGGGAACUACGCCUCUACUUUUGUUUACAUGGACUGGUGAGUAUACAUGUUUGCCUUUGCUGUGUUGAAUAUGCGUGGUAAGCUCCCUCCCUUUUACAUGACAUGCAUCCUCUUAAUCUUGUUGUUGCGUUAGGUUGUUUGGCACAGACAAGGGCUAUCGCAAGACAAAAGCCAUCGAAGGGGAAGAAGGGAAGCAUUUGUAAAUUGUGGAGGCUACUCUCUCUUUUCUCUGAGUCAACUCAUCAGAACUAGUUUUUGAUCUCUUGUAUUGGUGAUAACAUUGUGUUCAUGGGAGGAGAUACAUGCGGCAUUGAUCCUAGGCAUGGGCCGUCCAUCCUACAUGUCGUUGAGUCUCUGUUCUCCCAUAUUUGCUAGCAUGAUGAGAUCAUGUGUUGUGUAGGCCAACUUAUAUAAUUUGUGGUGAAUUAAAUUUGUUGUGCUCUGUUGGGGUUUAUGCCCAUGGCAGAAGUAACUAUUUGAAGCAGCAAUAACUUGUCAGAUUAGUUGUUUUGCAAGUCGAGUAAAUAACUGAGAUGAGAUUUGUCUGUGCUUUAUUUGUUUUUGCAUCAGUUUCCCUUGCAAACUCAUGGGGAGCAUGGUGCAAGUGAUUACUGGCAAUCUGAAUCAUCUUAAUAAUCAAGCAAAACUUAGCUUCUAGCCAUGAAUGCGGCUCCUCACGGUUACAUGUGUAUUGUCAUAGCUUGGCUGCUAUUGUGCGUCCGCCAUCGACGCAUAUGACCUGGCCCGUCAUGUACCCGGCGCCGGGCAUGCAGAGGAAGGCGACGACCGCGGCGACUUCGUGGGGCUUGCCGAAGCGGCGCAUGGGCACCCGCGCCGUCUCCAUGUCGGCGAGCCUCCGCGCCAUGGUUGGGUCGGUGGCGAGCGUGGUGGUGGAGAUAUCGGUGUCGAUGCCACCCGGCGCGACGCAGUUGACGCGGAUGCCGUGCGUCGCCCACUCGGCGGCCAGGCUCCUGGCGAGCUGGUGCAUGGCCCCCUUGGUGAGCGAGUAAACCGAGAGCGCCGGGUAGGCGAUGUAGCCGGUGACGGAGGAGAUGAGCAGCACGGAGGAGGCCCCGGCUUGGCGGAGCAGCGGGUGCGCGAGCUGGGAGAGGUGGAAGCAGGGGUCGAGGUUGGUGGCCAUGAUGCGGGCGUAGUCCUCCGGCGUGGUGUCCGCGGCCGCCUUGUAGAGGGAUUGGCCGGCGUUGUUGACGAGGAUGUGGAGCUUGCCGUGGAAGAGGUCGCGGACCGUGGCGACGAGGGCCUCCCUGUCGCCGCGCACGGAGACGUCGCAGACGGAGGCGGUGACCAGCUGGUGGAGGCCCUUGCUCUGCCAUCGCCGCCGGCAUUUGUCCAGGCCGGCGGCGUUGCGUGCGCAGGUGUGCACCUUGGCGCCCAGCCCGGCCAGCUCCUCCACGAUGGCAAGCCUACGGACGUACAAAAUGAAUCGAGCGGUUGAUCAAUGCGUGCACCACCAACUAACUAAUCGAGUGCGCAAAGCCACGAAAUGAAGCAUAACUGAACAUACCCGAUCCCCUUGGUUCCUCCGGUGACGAGCGCCGUCAUGCCGGCGAGGUUCCACCGGUGACUCAUCGUCUCCUGUGAAGAAUCCGAUGUGACACCUGCCAUCGGUCGGUAAAUAUAUCAGCUAUAGCGACUGAUCGACCCUGCAUCAGUAGCCAGUUAUAUAUGUUUGUGUGAUGGAUCGAUCGGCCCAAUGACCCUGCAUCCCAUCCAUCUUGUUUCACAUCAUGCUUAGUUGCCACACUUGGUAUUGGAGUCCCCUCCAAGUUCGUCACUGCCAAGGAAGAUAGAUAUUUUCGAUGCAUAUGCUCCCAGCCUCCUGCUCGGCUGCUUUUUGCUCACUGCUUUCGGCAAAUCUAUCUAUCUACCCCUCUACCCUUAUAAUAAUAUAAUAAAGCCAAUAAUGCUUCGUCCGUCAUGAAAAUUGACUCCGAAGUUGUCCAUAAUUACCCACCACACCACCCAUAAGUUAGAAAAAAACAAAUCGUUUUUUCUUUUACACCCGACCGCAGCUUUUUCAAUAACUUUAAAUCCCACCAUAUAGCACAAAGAUUCACACAGCCAAGUGGAUAGAGCAUCCUCCUUCAGUCUAGAAGACCUAGGUUUGAGUCGUCCUUCUCCCCUUUUUCCUAAUCCCGCAUAUCUAAAAGUUUUUUUAAUAUUAAUAUCUCUACAACAACAACAAAGCCUUUAGUCCCAAACAAGUUGGAGUAGGCUAGAGGUGAAACCCAUAAGAUCUCGCAACUAACUCAUGGCUCUGGCACAUGGAUAGCAAGCUUCCACGCAUCCCUGUCCAUAGCUAGCUCUUUGGUGAUACUCCAAUCCUUCAGGUCUCUCUUAACGGACUCCUCCCAUGUUAAAUUCGGUCUACCCCGCCCUCUCUUGACAUUCUCCGCACGCUUUAGCCGUCCACUAUGCACCGGAGCUUCUGGAGGCCUGCGCUGAAUAUGCCCAAACCAUCUCAGACGAUGUUGGACAAGCUUCUCUUCAAUUGGUGCUAUCCCAACUCUAUCUCAUAUAUCAUCAUUCCGGACUCGAUCCUUCCUCGUGUGGCUACACAUCCAUCUCAACAUACGCAUCUCCGCCACACCUAACUAUUGAACAUGUCGCCUUUUAGUCGGCCAACACUCAGUGCCAUACAACAUUGCGGGUCGAACCGCCGUCUUGUAGAACUUGCCUUUUAGCUUUUGUGGCACUCUCUUGUCACAGAGAAUGCCAGAAGCUUGGCGACACUUCAUCCAUCCGGCUUUGAUUCGAUGGUUCAUAUCUUCAUCAAUACCCCCAUCCUCCUGCAGCAUUGACCCCAAAUACCGAAAGGUGUCCUUCUGAGGUACCACCUGGCCAUCAAGGCUAACCUCCUCCUCAUACCUAGUAGUACUGAAACCGCACAUCAUGUACUCGGUUUUAGUUCUACUAAGCCUAAACCCUUUCGAUUCCAAGGUUUGUCUCCAUAACUCUAACUUCCUAUUUACCCCCGUCCGACUAUCGUCAACUAGCACCACAUCAUCCGCAAAGAGCAUACACCAUGGGAUAUCUUCUUGUAUAUCCCUUGUGACCUCAUCCAUCACCAAUGCAAAAAAGAUAAGGGCUCAAAGCUGACCCCUGAUGCAGUCCUAUCUUAAUCGGAAAGUCAUCAGUGUCGACAUCACUUGUUCGAACACUUGUCACAACAUUAUCGUACAUGUCCUUGAUGAGGGUAAUGUACUUUGCUGGGACUUUGUGUUUCUCCAAGGCCCACCACAUGACAUUCCGCGGUAUCUUAUCAUAGGCCUUCUCCAAGUCAAUGAACACCAUAUGCAAGUCCUUCUUUUGCUCCAUAUAUCUCUCCAUAAGUUGUCGUACCAAGAAAAUGGCUUCCAUGGUCGACCUCCCAGGCAUGAAACCAAACUGAUUUUUGGUCACGCUUGUCAUUCUUCUUAAGCGGUGCUCAAUGACUCUCUCCCAUAGCUUCAUUGUAUGGCUCAUCAGCUUAAUUCCACGGUAAUUAGUACAACUCUGAACAUCCCCCUUGUUCUUGAAGAUUCGUACUAAUAUACUCCAUCUCCAUUCUUCUGGCAUCUUGUUUGCCCGAAAAUGAGGUUGAAAAGCUUGGUUAGCCAUACUAUCGCUAUGUCCCCGAGACCUUUCCACACCUCAAUGGGGAUACAAUCAGGGCCCAUCGCCUUGCAUCCUUUCAUCCUUUUUAAAGCCUCCUUGACCUCAGACUCCUGGAUUCGCCGCACAAAACGCAUGCUGGUCUCAUCAAAGGAGUCAUCCAGUUCAAUGGUAGAACUCUCAUUCUCCCCAUUGAACAGCUUGUCGAAGUACUCCCGCCAUCUAUGCUUAAUCUCCUCGCCCUUCACCAAGAGUUGGCCUGCUCCGUCCUUGAUGCAUUUGACUUGGCCAAUAUCCCUCGUCUUCCUCUCUCGGAUCUUGGCCAUCUUAUAGAUGUCCCUUUCACCUUCCUUCGUGCCUAACCAUUGGUAGAGGUCCUCAUAUGCCCGACCCCUUGCUUCACCAACAGCUCGCUUUGCGGCCUCCUUCGCCAUCUUGUACUUCUCUAUGUUGUCUGCACUCCUAUCCAGGUAUAGGCGUUUGAAGCAAUCUUUCUUCUCUUUAAUCGCCUUCUGGACAUCAUCAUUCCACCACCAGGUAUCCUUAUCUUCGCUUCUCCUUCCCAUGGACACUCCAAGCUCCUCUGAGGCCACCUUACGAAUGCAAGUCGCCAUCUUCGUCCACACAUUGUUCGCAUCUCCUCCUUCCUCCCAAGGGCCCUCCUUAAUGACCCUCUCCUUGAACGCUAGAGCUACCUCCCCCUUGAGCUUCCACCACUUCGUUCUAGCGACUUUGGCACGCUUAUCCCGCUGGACACGAAUCCGAAAGCGGAAGUCAGCAACCACCAGCUUAUGCUGGGGUACAACACUAUCUCCAGGUAUCACCUUACAGUCUAGGCACGCAUGCCUAUCUUCUCUUCUCGAGAGGAUGAAAUCAAUCUGGCUAGAGUGUUGGCCACUACUAAAAGUCACUAUAUGUGAUUCUCUCUUUCUAAAGAGGGUGUUAGCUACAAUCAUGUUGUAGGCUAGAGCAAAGCUUAAGACAUCUUCUCCUUCUUGAUUCCUGAUGACAUAGCCAAAGCCCCCGUGCGCCCCUUCAAAACCUGUGUUAGAUGUACCCACGUGGCCAUUGAGGUCUCCUCCUAUGAAGAGCUUCUCACCAAUCGAUACACUCCUAACCAUGUCUUCCAGGCCUUCCUAGAACUCCCUCUUGGUGUUCUUAUUGUGGCCUACUUGCGGGGCAUACGCGCUGAUAACAUUAAGAACCAAGUCCUCAACUACCAGCUUGACCAGGAUAAUCCGAUACCCACGUCUCUUGACGUCUACCACUCCAUACUUGAGGCUCUUGUUGAUCAAGAUGCCUACGCCAUUUCUGUUUGCAACCGUCCCUGUGUACACAGCUUGAAGCCGGUAUCCUCCACCUUCUUCGCCUUCUGUCCUCUCCAUUUGGUUUCUUGGACGCUAAUAUUAAUAUAUCUAAAUCUAACAUUUUAUAUAUGAAAAUCCCUCAGAAAAAUGUGUACAUUUCAAAAAUGCUAUUAUCUUGUAUGUUAAUCUUUUCUAAAUUAUGUUUAGCAUGCAACUUUAAUCAAUACCUUCUUUACAUGUGGUAUUUUAAAAAUGCCAAUUGUAUAUGUUUUACCCCAUCUAAACUGAGUAGAUAUGAUAGUUUAUUCUUUUCACAAAAACUAUACAUAAGCAUCAUCUCUAUUUCACACAAUGCAUAAUAAAAAACCCAUAUACGAUGAUGUACACGAAACUGUUGGUACAAGCUUUAUGUAAACCAGUGGCUUAACAUUGAUUUUCAUAUUGUUUGAGAUUUAUAUGAAGAUGUUGAUAUGCAACCUUGAAUAUUUGGCAUGCAUGUUUGAUUGUUUUUGGUGAAGCUAUGUAAUAUGUUUGCAACCAAAUUAAGUCUUCACUUGAUUACAGUUAUAAACACAAGUAUCAACAAGACAAAAAUAAUGCUUUUAUGCACAUGCUAUCAUUGAGUACUAACACAUAUUUUGUUAUUUUCAUCCUAAUGCAAUAUUUUUUGGGCAUCACUGAGGAGUAACAACAAUAGAGGCAUAAAGAGAUAGCGGCAACUAGGUAGAUGUUUCUGUUAUCUAAUGGAUUAGAAACACCUUGAGUAUAUGAGUGUUUUUGUUCCGGGAAGAAUGAUCACAGAUAAAUAUUUUAGUGGCAUAUGAGUGUUUCCACACAAUAAAAAAGAAAAGGGCGGGUAAAGAAGGCUUGAGUGCCAUUAAAUUGGAUAUGCAUAAAGCUUAUGACCGAGUGGAAUGGUCUUUUUAAAAGAAAUUUUGUUGAGACCGGGGUUCAAGGAGAAUUGGGUGAACUUAAUUAUGCAAUGUGUAUCCUCUAUGGAGUAUAUGGUUCAUUUUAAUACCGAUGAGACUGACAGUUUUAAGCCUACUAGAGGACUAAGAUAGGGGAGCCGUCUCUCCCUGAAAGUGCUAGUUAUCGACUAGAGGGGGGGAGGGGGGGUGAAUAAGCGAUUUUUAUGAAAGUCUUCAAAACACGAGGUCUUUGAGGACAAACAGUAGAAAUGAACCUAUUGAUAUGCAGCGGAAGAUAGACUACACUAGACAAGCCAGAGUCAAGUAAGCAAUGUAGUGAAAGCACGAAGACUAUCAGCAGCUAGGUAGUAUGGAUCAGGAUGAAAGACAAUAUGAAGCCAAACAGUAAAUAGUCUUCACUAAGUGAAGUCAAAUAGAUCAGACAAGCAAGCAAUGACUUCACGAAGACAAACUGUAAAGUAAAGGGAAGUGGAGGAUAGAACCCGUUGCUUGGUGAAGACAAGGAUUUGGUAGACCAGUUCUAGUUGCUGUGACUACUGUACAUCUGGUUAGGGAGGCUAAAAUUUAACCCAGAAGACCGGGUCUUCACCUUAUCCCCCUUGAGGUAAGGACACCCAGUCCUCACCCAAUCACUCUGGUAAGUCUUCAAGGUAGACUUCAAAACCUUCACAGACUUCGUUCACCGGCGAUCCACAAUGACUCUUGGAUGCUCAGAACGCGACGCCUAACCGUCUGGAGGAUUCACAGUCCUCAAGUGUAACAAGUCUUCAGGUCACGCGGACAUAAAGACUUCAGUGAUGCCUAACACUCUUUGGCUCUGGGUGUUUUAGGCUUUGUCCUCGCAAGGAUCUCUCCCUCAAAUGCUUCGGAGGUGGGUUGCUCUCAAACGACAAAAGUUGUGCACUAACUCUGAGCAGCCACCAAUUUGUGGUGUAGGGGGCGGGCUAUUUAUAGCCAGGAGGCAAUCCGUCCUGAUAUGUCCAAAAUGACCCUGGGUCACUAAGGAACCGACACGUGUCCAACGGUCGGAUUUCAAACACACGCGCCAGCUUGACUUGGGCUACAAGUAAAGCUGACUCAUCCAGCUCUGGAUAAGAUUUGCUCUCAUUGUCUUUGCUCGAAGACAUAGGAUUUUGGUUGAUGAGAGGAUCGAGAAGAGGUGUGUGUGGGGGGGGUGAAUAGACUCUUAGCAAAGAAAGUUGCAGUUUUUAAAUUCUUUAAGUUGAAGUGGAGUUUUAGCACAAGUUCAAACAUUCACAAUACAUACCAAGCAAGCAUGACAAGAGUAUAAGAGCAAUGGAAAGUAAAUCAUGCAAGUUGCAAGAAUGUAAAGGGAUGGGAUUGGAGUGUGCAAACGCAAUUGGAGACGGAGAUUUUUGGCGUGGUUCCGAUAGGUGGUGCUAUCGUAUAUCCACAUUGAUGGAGACUUCAACCCACGAAGGGUAACGGUUGCGCGAGUCCACAGAGGGCUCCACCCAUGAAGGGUCCACGAAGAAGCAUCCUUGUCUAUCCCACCAUGGCCAUCGCCCACGAAGGACUUGGCUCACCAGGGUAGAUCUUCACGAAGUAGGCGAUCUCCUUGCCCGUACAAACUCCUUGGUUCAACUCCACAAUCUUGACGGAGGCUCCCAAGUGACACCUAACCAAUCUAGGUGUCACACCCACGAUGUGGCUAUAUCUCCCACGUGUCGGAGCACGACUUAGAGGCAUAACUGCAUAGCAGGCAUGUCGCAAGAGGGGUAAUAUUUACACAUCCCAUGUACUGAAUAUGAAAGGGAUAAAGAGUUGGCUUACAAUUGCCACUUCACACAAUACAUAAAUAUAGCAUUACAUCAUCCAGAAUACAAUCAAGGUCCGACUACGGAACCAAAAUAAAACAAGACCACCCCCUAAUGCUAGAUCCCCGAUCGCCCCGACUGGGCUUCACUACUGAUCAACUAGAAACGAAACAACACAACAAACACGAUCUUCAUCGAGCUCCUCCUUGAGCUCGGUUGCGUCACCUGCACGGUUAUCAUCGGCACCUGCAACUGUUUGGAAGUAUCUGUGAGCUAUGAGGACUCAGCAAUCUCACACCCGCGAGAUCAAGACUAUUUAAGCUUAUGGGUAGGGAAGGGUAGUGAGGUGGAGCUGCAGCAAGCACUAAGCAUAUAUGGUGGCUAACUUAUAUAGUCCUUUCAUAGGGGCCAGCCUAUCCAACUUUUAGGCAUUAGGAUAUGUUUAAGGCGUUCCUUCAAUGUCGCCUCGUCAAGAAAAGGCAACCAUUCUACACCUCAAAUCCUAGUGCAGUGGUCUCACCUUCCCGUGGAUUGUGCAACAUGGAUGGAUUACUAUACACUCAAGAAUUGCUAUCCCAAGGCACCCAUUUGGGAUGAAGCUCCUUCUCAAGGCGUGGUGACUAUCACGCCUGUGCCACAGGUCAAUGCGACCUUGAGAGUGGCAGAGGUGGACCACAAGGUCCUCGAUCUGGUGGACUUGGACGAUGACGCAUCCAAAGAAGACACUGCCCCUGUCUAGAGUGAGAUAAAGAUGGAGUAGGCGUCAAGAAGAAGAGAGUGGCAAGAAUGGGUGUAUGGACCGUAGGUCCCAACCGUAAGGAGGAAGAGAAGCGAAGUGUUGUCCCUCUAACGCUCAUGCUUGAUGAAUUAAAUUUAAAUUCCCCAUCUGUCUCUCUACUCACCCCCUUCAUCUACCUCUCAUAUUUUCCUUCCAAUUUACCCAAAUCCUCGAUGUGAUCCUUUCCCCUCGAAGUAGGACAUCACAUGAAGUUGUUGUGAUAAAAACCAACAGGCCCAUCGCACCUGAACAUUAACCACCACCGAUGAAGAGAGUAGUAGACUGCAAGAAUCAAACUUGUAAAUAGCCAAAUAAAGACUAGAUCCAAACAGGUCCACCAAAGACCAGUAUUGACCGAUUCCCCGCGAGAUCCAAUGAAGACACGCCUCCACUCGCCCUCCGACAAUGAUAGAUGCAUCAUCGGUACAAGGAUGAAAGUGGGAGACAUUAUUCCUAGUAAGGAACAUCGUCACCGCCUCACAACCCUAACCAAGACGCUAAACCUUGUUGGAAAUAUGCCCUAGAGGCAAUAAUAAAAGUAUUAUUAUAUUUCAAUGUUCAUGAUAAAUGUCUUUUAUUCAUGCUAUAACUGUAUUAUCCGGAAAUCGUAAUACACGUGUGAAUACUUAGACCACAAUAUGUCCCUGGUGAGCCUCUAGUUGACCAGCUCGUUGUGAUCAACAGAUAGUCAUGGUUUCCUGACUAUGGACAUUGGAUGUCGUUGAUAAUGGGAUCACAUCAUUAGGAGAAUGAUGUGAUGGACAAGACCCAAUCCUAAGCAUAGCAUAAAAGAUCGUGUAGUUCGUUUUGCUAGAGCUUUGCCAGUGUCAAGUAUCUCUUCCUUCGACCAUGAGAUCGUGUAACUCCCGGAUACCGUAAGAGUGCCUUGGGUGUAUCAAACGUCACAACGUAACUGGGUGACUAUAAAGGUGCAUUACAGGUAUCUCCGAAAGUAUCUGUUGGGUUGACACGGAUCGAGACUGGGAUUUGUCACUCCGUAUGACGGAGAGGUAUCUCUGGGCCCACUCGGUAAUGCAUCAUCAUUAUGAGCUCAAUGUGACCAAGGUGUUGGACACGGGAUCAUGCAUUACGGUACGAGUAAAGUGACUUGCCGGUAACGAGACUGAACAAGGUAUUGGGAUACCGACGAUCGAGUCUCGGGCAAGUAACGUACCGAUUGACAAAGGGAAUUGCAUACAGGGUUUGAUCGAAUCCUCCACAUAGUGGUUCAUCCGAUGACAACAUCAAGGAGCAUGUGGGAGCUAUCAUGGGUAUCCAGAUCCCGCUGUUGGUUAUUGACUGAGAGCGUCUCGGUCAUGUCUGCAUGUCUCCCGAACCCGUAGGGUCUACACACUUAAGGUUCGGUGACGCUAGGGUUAUUAGGAAGACUAGUAUGUGACUACCGAAUGUUGUUCGGAGUCCCGUAUGGGAUCCUGGACGUCACGAGGAGAUCCGGAAGGGUCCGGAGGUAAAGAUUUAUAUAUGGGAAGUUGUCAAACGGACACCGGGAAGUUUCGGGGUCAUACCGGUAUUGUACCGGGGCCACCGGAAGGGUUCCGGGGGUCCACCGGGAGGGGCCACCCCUCCCGGGGGGCCACAUGGGCUGCGUGGGGCAGGGAGCCAGCCCCUGGUGGGCUGGCCGCACCCCCCUCCCUUGGGCCCAUGCGCCUAGGGUUGAGGGGGAACCCUAGAGGGGGCGCCCCCCUUGGCUUGGGGGGCAAGCCACCCUCUCCCCUCUCCCCUAGGCCGNNNNNNNNNNNNNNNNNNNNNNNNNNNNNNNNNNNNNNNNNNNNNNNNNNNNNNNNNNNNNNNNNNNNNNNNNNNNNNNNNNNNNNNNNNNNNNNNNNNNNNNNNNNNNNNNNNNNNNNNNNNNNNNNNNNNNNNNNNNNNNNNNNNNNNNNNNNNNNNNNNNNNNNNNNNNNNNNNNNNNNNNNNNNNNNNNNNNNNNNNNNNNNNNNNNNNNNNNNNNNNNNNNNNNNNNNNNNNNNNNNNNNNNNNNNNNNNNNNNNNNNNNNNNNNNNNNNNNNNNNNNNNNNNNNNNNNNNNNNNNNNNNNNNNNNNNNNNNNNNNNNNNNNNNNNNNNNNNNNNNNNNNNNNNNNNNNNNNNNNNNNNNNNNNNNNNNNNNNNNNNNNNNNNNNNNNNNNNNNNNNNNNNNNNNNNNNNNNNNNNNNNNNNNNNNNNNNNNNNNNNNNNNNNNNNNNNNNNNNNNNNNNNNNNNNNNNNNNNNNNNNNNNNNNNNNNNNNNNNNNNNNNNNNNNNNNNNNNNNNNNNNNNNNNNNNNNNNNNNNNNNNNNNNNNNNNNNNNNNNNNNNNNNNNNNNNNNNNNNNNNNNNNNNNNNNNNNNAUAAAUAGAGGGGUGAGGGGAGGGCAGCCGUACCACCCUCCAAGGCGCAGCCCUCCCCUCCCCAACACCUCUCCUCCUCCCGUUGUGUGCUUGGCGAAGCCCUGUCGGAGUACUGCCUCUCCACCAUCACCACGCCGUCGUGCUGCCGGUGGAGCUAUCUUCCUCAACCUCUCCUUCCCCCUUGCUGGAUCAAGAAGGAGGAGACGUCUCCCGUCCCGUACGUGUGUUGAACGCGGAGGUGAUGUCCGUUCAGCACUUGGUCAUCGGUGAUUCGAAUCACGUCGAGUACGACUACAUCAUCACCUUGCAAGCUUCCGCACGCGAUCUACAAGUGGUAUGUAGAUGCAAACUCUCUCCCUUGACUCGUUGCUUAGAAGAACUCAUAGAUGGAUCUUGGUGAAACCGUAGGAAAAAUUUUAAUUUUCUGCAACGUUCCCCAACAGUGGCAUCAUGAGCUAGGUCUAUGCGUAGUUCUCUUUGCACGAGUAGAACACAAUUUUGUUGUGGGCGUGGAUUUUGUCAUCUUACUUGCCUCUACUAGUCUUUUCUUGCUCAACGGUAUUGUGGGAUGAAGCGGCCCGGACCAACCUUACACGUACGCUUACAUGAGACCGGUUCCACCGACUGACAUGCACUAGUUGCAUAAGGUGGCUGGCGGGUGUCUGUCUCUCCCACUUUAGUUGGAGCGGAAUCGAUGAACAGGGCCCUUAUGAAGGGUAAAUAGAAGUUGACAAAAUCACGUUGUGGUGAUUCGUAGGUAAGAAAACGUUCUUGCUAGAACCCAAUUGCAGCCACGUAAAAGAUGCAACAACAAUUAGAGGACGUCUAACUUGUUUUUGCAGCGAUUGAUCAUGUGAUGUGAUAUGGCCAGAAGUUGUGAUGAAUGAUGAAUUGUGAUGUAUGAGAUCAUGUUCUUUGUAAUAGGAUUCACGACUUGCAUGUCGAUGAGUAUGACAACCAGCAGGAGCCAUAGGAGUUGUCUUUAUUUUUUGUAUGACCUGCAUGUCAUUGAAGAACGCCAUGUAACUCACUUUACUUUAUUGCUAAACGCGUUAGCCAUAGAAGUAGAAGUAGUCGUUGGCGUGACAACUUCAUGAAGACACGAUGAUGGAGAUCAUGAUGAUGGAGAUCAUGGUGUCAAGCCGGUGACAAGAUGAUCAUGGAGCCCCGAAGAUGAAGAUCAAUGGAGCUAUAUGAUAUUGGCCAUAUCAUGUCACAACUAUAUAAUUGCAUGUGAUGUUUAUUAUGUUUUGCAUCUUGUUUACUUAGGACGACGGUAGUAAAUAAGAUGAUCCCUUACAAAAAAUUUCAAGAAGUGUUCUCCCCUAACUGUGCACCGUUGCUACAGUUCGUCGCUUCUAAGCACCACGUGAUGAUCGGGUGUGAUGGAUUCUUACGUUCACAUACAACGGGUGUAAGACAGUUUUACACAGCGAAAACACUUAGGGUUAACUUGACGAGCCUAGCAUGUGCAGACAUGGCCUCGGAACACGGAGACCGAAAGGUCGAACACGAAUCGUAUGGAAGAUACGAUCAACAUGAGAAUGUUCACCGACGAUGACUAGUCCGUCUCACGUGAUGAUCCGACACGGGCUAGUCGACUCGGAUCGUGUAACACUUAGAUGACUAGAGGGAUGUCUAAUCUAAGUGGGAGUUCAUAAUUUGAUUAGAACUUUAUUAUCAUGAACUUAGUCUAAAACCUUUGCAAAUAUGUCUUGUAGAUCAAUGGCCAACGCUAACGUAAACAUGAACUUCAACGCGUUCCUAGAGAAAACCAAGCUGAAAGAUGAUGGCAGCAACUAUACGGACUGGGUCCAGAACCUGAGGAUCAUCCUCAUAGCUGCCAGGAAACAAUAUGUCCUAGAAGGACCGCUAGGUGACGCUCCCAUCCCAGAGAACCAAGACAUUAUGAAUGCUUGGCAGUCUCGUGCUGAUGAUUACUCCCUCGUUCAGUGCGGCAUGCUUUACAGCUUAGAACCGGGGCUCCAAAAGCGUUUUGAGCACCACGGAGCAUAUGAGAUGUUCGAAGAGCUGAAACUAGUUUUUCAAGCUCAUGCCCGGGUCGAGAGAUAUGAUGUCUCCGACAAGUUCUACAGUUGUAAGAUGGAGGAAAACAGUUCUGUCAGUGAGCACAUCCUGAAGAUGUCUGGGUUGCACAACCGUAUGACCCAGCUAAACAUUAACCUCCCAGAUGAGGCGGUCAUUGACAGAAUCCUCCAGUCGCUCCCACCAAGCUACAAGAGCUUUGUGAUGAACUACAACAUGCAGGGGAUGGAAAAGACCAUUCCUGAAGUGUUCUCGAUGCUGAAGUCAGCAGAGGCUGAAAUCAAGAAAGAACAUCAAGUGUUGAUGGUCAAUAAGACCACUAAGUUCAAGAAGGGCAAGGGUAAGAAGAACUUCAAGAAGGACGGCAAAGAUGUUGCCGCGCCUGGUAAGCCAGUUGCCGGGAAGAAGUCAAAGAAUGGACCUAAGCCUGAGACUGAGUGCUUUUAUUGCAAAGGGAAGGGUCACUGGAAGCGGAACUGCCCCAAAUACUUAGCGGAUAAGAAGGCCGGCAACACCAAAGGUAUAUUUGAUAUACAUGUGAUUGAUGUGUACCUUACCAGUACUCGUAGUAACUCCUGGGUAUUUGAUACCGGUGUCGUUGCUCAUAUUUGUAACUCACAGCAGGAGCUGCGGAAUAAACGGAGACUGGCGAAGGACGAGGUGACGAUGCGCGUCGGGAAUGGUUCCAGAGUCGAUGUGAUCGCCGUCGGCACGCUGCCUCUACAUUUACCUACGGGAUUAGUUUUGAACCUUAAUAAUUGUUAUUUAGUGCCAAGUUUGAGCAUGAACAUUGUAUCUGGAUCUCGUUUAAUACGAGAUGGCUACUCAUUUAAGUCUGAGAAUAAUGGUUGUUCGAUUUAUAUGAGAGAUAUGUUUUAUGGUCAUGCUCCGAUGGUCAAUGGUUUAUUCUUAAUGAAUCUCGAGCGUAAUAUUACACAUGUUCAUAGUGUAGAUGCCAAAAGAUUUAAAGUUGAUAACGAUAGUCCCACAUACUUGUGGCACUGCCGCCUUGGUCACAUUGGUGUCAAGCGCAUGAAGAAGCUCCAUGCCGAUGGACUUUUAGAGUCUCUUGAUUAUGAAUCGUUUGACACGUGCGAACCAUGCCUUUUGGGCAAAAUGACCAAGACUUCGUUCUCCGGAACAAUGGAGCGAGCAACCAACUUGUUGGAAAUCAUACAUACCGAUGUGUGCGGUCCAAUGAGCGUUGAGGCUCGCGGAGGAUAUCGUUAUGUUCUCACUCUCACUGAUGACUUGAGUAGAUAUGGGUAUGUCUACUUAAUGAAACACAAGUCUGAGACCUUUGAAAAGUUCAAGGAAUUUCAGAAUGAGGUAGAGAAUCAACGUGACCGAAAGAUAAAAUUCUUACGAUCAGAUCGUGGAGGAGAAUACUUAAGUCACGAAUUUGGUACACACUUAAGGAAAUGUGGAAUUGUUUCACAGCUCACGCCGCCUGGAACACCUCAGCGAAACGGUGUGUCCGAACGUCGUAAUCGCACCCUAUUGGAUAUGGUGCGAUCUAUGAUGUCUCUUACCGAUUUACCGCUAUCAUUUUGGGGAUACGCUCUAGAGACAGCUACAUUCACUUUAAAUAGGGCACCGUCUAAAUCCGUUGAGACGACACCGUAUGAAUUAUGGUUUGGAAAGAAACCUAAGCUAUCGUUUCUAAAAGUUUGGGGAUGCGAUGCUUAUGUCAAGAAACUUCAACCUGAAAAGCUCGAACCCAAGUCGGAAAAAUGCGUAUUCAUAGGAUACCCUAAGGAAACUGUAGGGUAUACCUUCUACUUAAGAUCCGAAGGCAAGAUCUUUGUUGCCAAGAACGGAUGCUUUCUGGAAAAAGAGUUUCUCUCGAAAGAAGUAAGUGGGAGGAAAGUAGAACUCGAUGAAGUACUACCUCUUGAGCGGGAAAGUGGCGCAGCGCAGGAAACCGUUCCUGUGAUGCCCACACCAACUGAAGAGGAAAACAAUGAUGAUGAUCAAGGUACUUCGGAUCAAGUUACUGCUGAACUUCGUAGGUCCACAAGGACACGUUCCGCACCAGAGUGGUACGGCAACCCUGUCCUGGAAAUCAUGUUGUUAGACAACAAUGAACCUUCGAACUAUGAAGAAGCGAUGGCGGGCCCGGAUUCCAACAAAUGGCUUGAAGCCAUGAAAUCCGAGAUAGAAUCCAUGUAUGAAAACAAAGUAUGGACUUUGACAGACUUGCCCGAUGAUCGGUGAGCGAUAGAAAACAAAUGGAUCUUUAAGAAGAAGACGGACGCGGAUGGUAAUGUUACCAUCUAUAAGGCUCGACUUGUCGCUAAGGGUUAUCGACAAGUUCAAGGGAUUGACUACGACGAGACAUUCUCUCCCGUAGCGAAGCUGAAGUCCGUCCGAAUCAUGUUAGCAAUUGCCGCAUACUAUGAUUAUGAGAUAUGGCAAAUGGACGUCAAAACGGCAUUCCUUAACGGACAUCUUAAGGAAGAACUGUAUAUGAUGCAGCCGGAAGGUUUUGUCGAUCCUCGGAACGCUAACAAAGUAUGCAAGCUCCAGCGAUCCAUUUAUGGACUGGUGCAAGCAUCUCAGAGUUGGAACAUUCGCUUUGAUGAGAUGAUCAAAGCGUUUGGGUUUAUGCAGACUUAUGGAGAAGCCUGCGUUUACAAGAAAGUGAGUGGGAGCUCUGUAGCAUUUCUCAUAUUAUAUGUAGAUGACAUACUCUUGAUGGGAAAUAAUAUAGAAUUUCUGGACAGCAUUAAGGCCUACUUGAAUAAGUGUUUUUCAAUGAAGGACCUUGGAGAAGAUGCUUAUAUAUUAGGCAUCAAGAUCUAUAGAGAUAGAUCGAGACGCCUCAUAGGUCUUUCACAAAGCACAUACCUUGAUAAGAUUUUGAAGAGGUUCAAAAUGGAUCAGUCCAAGAAGGGGUUCUUGCCUAUGUUACAAGGUGUGAGAUUGAGCUCGGCUCAGUCACCGACCACGGCAAAAGAUAAAGAAGAGAUGAGUGUCAUCCCCUAUGCUUCAGCCAUAGGAUCUAUUAUGUAUGCCAUGCUGUGUACCAGACCCGAUGUAAACCUUGCCGUAAGUUUGGUAGCAAGAUACCAAAGUAAUCCCGGCAAGGAACACUGGACAGCGGUCAAGAAUAUCCUGAAGUACCUGAAAAGGACGAAGGACAUGUUUCUCGUUUAUGGAAGAGACGAAGAGCUCGUCGUAAAGGGUUACGUCGAUGCUAGCUUCGACUCAGAUCUGGAUGACUCUAAGUCACAAACCGGAUACGUGUAUAUGUUGAAUGGUGGAGUAAUAAGCUGGUGCAGCUGCAAGCAGAGCGUCGUGGCGGGAUCUACGUGUGAAGCGGAGUACAUGGCAGCCUCGGAGGCAGCGCAUGAAGCAAUUUGGGUGAAGGAGUUCAUCACCGACCUAGGAGUCAUACCCAAUGCGUCGUGGCCGAUCAAACUCUUCUGUGACAACACUGGAGCUAUUGCCCUCGCCAAGGAGCCCAGGUUUCACAAGAAGACCAGGCACAUCAAGCGUCGUUUCAACUCCAUCCGUGAAAAUGUUCAAGAUGGAGACAUAGAGAUUUGCAAAGUGCACACGGAUCUGAAUGUCGCAGAUCCGCUGACUAAACCUCUCUCGCGUGCAAAACAUGAUCAACACCAGAACUCUAUGGGUGUUCGAUUCAUCACAAUGUAACUAGAUUGGUGACUCUAGUGCAAGUGGGAGACUGUUGGAAAUAUGCCCUAGAGGCAAUAAUAAAAGUAUUAUUAUAUUUCAAUGUUCAUGAUAAUGUCUUUUAUUCAUGCUAUAACUGUAUUAUCCGGAAAUCGUAAUACACGUGUGAAUACUUAGACCACAAUAUGUCCCUGGUGAGCCUCUAGUUGACCAGCUCGUUGUGAUCAACAGAUAGUCAUGGUUUCCUGACUAUGGACAUUGGAUGUCGUUGAUAACGGGAUCACAUCAUUAGGAGAAUGAUGUGAUGGACAAGACCCAAUCCUAAGCAUAGCAUAAAAGAUCGUGUAGUUCGUUUUGCUAGAGCUUUGCCAGUGUCAAGUAUCUCUUCCUUCGACCAUGAGAUCGUGUAACUCCCGGAUACCGUAAGAGUGCCUUGGGUGUAUCAAACGUCACAACGUAACUGGGUGACUAUAAAGGUGCAUUACAGGUAUCUCCGAAAGUAUCUGUUGGGUUGACACGGAUCGAGACUGGGAUUUGUCACUCCGUAUGACGGAGAGGUAUCUCUGGGCCCACUCGGUAAUGCAUCAUCAUUAUGAGCUCAAUGUGACCAAGGUGUUGGACACGGGAUCAUGCAUUACGGUACGAGUAAAGUGACUUGCCGGUAACGAGACUGAACAAGGUAUUGGGAUACCGACGAUCGAGUCUCGGGCAAGUAACGUACCGAUUGACAAAGGGAAUUGCAUACAGGGUUUGAUCGAAUCCUCCACAUAGUGGUUCAUCCGAUGACAACAUCGAGGAGCAUGUGGGAGCUAUCAUGGGUAUCCAGAUCCCGCUGUUGGUUAUUGACUGAGAGCGUCUCGGUCAUGUCUGCAUGUCUCCCGAACCCGUAGGGUCUACACACUUAAGGUUCGGUGACGCUAGGGUUAUUAGGAAGACUAGUAUGUGACUACCGAAUGUUGUUCGGAGUCCCGGAUGGGAUCCUGGACGUCACGAGGAGAUCCGGAAGGGUCCGGAGGUAAAGAUUUAUAUAUGGGAAGUUGUCAAACGGACACCGGGAAGUUUCGGGGUCAUACCGGUAUUGUACCGGGGCCACCGGAAGGGUUCCGGGGGUCCACCGGGAGGGGCCACCCCUCCCGGGGGGGCACAUGGGCUGCGUGGGGCAGGGAGCCAGCCCCUGGUGGGCUGGCCGCACCCCCCUCCCUUGGGCCCAUGCGCCUAGGGUUGAGGGGGAACCCUAGAGGGGGCGCCCCCCUUGGCUUGGGGGGCAAGCCACCCUCUCCCCUCUCCCCUAGGCCGCCGCACCCCCCCCUAGAUGGGUUCUAGGGGGCCGGCCCCCUUCUCCCUUCCCCCUAUAAAUAGAGGGGUGAGGGGAGGGCAGCCGUACCACCCUCCAAGGCGCAGCCCUCCCCUCCCCAACACCUCUCCUCCUCCAUUGUGUGCUUGGCGAAGCCCUGUCGGAGUACUGCCUCUCCACCAUCACCACGCCGCCGUGCUGCCGGUGGAGCUGUCUUCCUCAACCUCUCCUUCCCCCUUGCUGGAUCAAGAAGGAGGAGACGUCUCCCGUCCCGUACGUGUGUUGAACGCGGAGGUGCUGUCCGUUCAGCACUUGGUCAUCGGUGAUUCGAAUCACGUCGAGUACGACUACAUCAUCACCUUGCAAGCUUCCGCACGCGAUCUACAAGUGGUAUGUAGAUGCAAACUCUCUCCCUUGACUCGUUGCUUAGAAGAACUCAUAGAUGGAUCUUGGUGAAACCGUAGGAAAAAUUUUAAUUUUCUGCAACGUUCCCCAACAAACCUAACAAGAACGAGAGUGGGCUCCCUCCUGCCGAUAGGGGCCAAGAUCCACCGCACCUCCACGACCCAAAGGCCAUCAAAGGCGGGGCACCAACAGGAGGAAGAGGAAACCUGAUUGCCUGGGGUCUUUUGUUCAAGAGGAGGAAAGAACGAUGUGGAUUUUCCAUGAAUUUAUGGAUAUUUAUGGGUCGGCGCGGGUCAAAUGUGUUGAAUAUAUCAUCAAAAGCAUAGUAUCGAAUCCGUAUAUGAAUAAAGUUUCUAAACAUACAAAUUUGUUGGUAUAUCCCGUGCAAGAGAAAUUGUUGGUAUAUAACACAUACUUUGUUACUAAAAAAUCGAGUAUUUCGAACCAUGCACAGAGUGCUAUUUGUUUUGAUUCUGAUAAGGGCAUAUCCAACGCCAUCCAUCAAAACAGACAUGCAAAUUAUCCGCGGGUAGCGCUAGCCAAGCUGGGCAUCCAACCUGGUGCAUCAAAUAAAAAUGGACACAUCAUUUAAUAGUAGGGUAUUUUUUACAUAGCAAAAGUUGCUGACCCUGGUCUACUCUUCCCUUGUCGUGGGCAUGUCAGUCUCCCACCUCCCGCUCUUUGUUGGACAUGGGCACUUCCAUGUCACACGUGCUACUCUUUCUCAUAGGAGUCCGCCGCCUAGUCGCUAAUGUCGCCGGUGGAGGUGAGGUCAAUGAUCGACGUGGACGGUUCGGCCUCGUGGUUGUUGCGGCGCACAUGAAUGACACGUAGUCACCGACGUUGGCAGUGAUGAGUCCAAUUUAUGUGAUAAUUUUACUAAGUAUUUUGUGCCUAUAUGGUAGGCUUUAUGGAAUUUUACCGCGUUCGCGCACCUCCUUUUGUUAAUAAUCUCUUAGGUAACGCUUUUUGGAUCAUUUAGCUUAAUAUGGAAGAAAUCUACAGAAAUGGUAGUGGAAUCACCUAUUUAAAGUGAUAAUCACCUACCAAUCAAGCAAGAAGGCCAAAGAAGGAAUCGUCGCCGCGCUUCCAGAGCAAAAGAUGGUGUCCCAUGCGACCGCGCCUUCUCGCAUGGGCGGUCGUAUGGAGUGCCAAUACCGCCGCCGGAUCGACUAAUUCCACCCGAAGAUCAUUUGGAGGAGGGAUUAACAAGGAGAAGGGGGCUAUUUUCCUCCUCACGCACAAGGUGCUACAACAUCAUCACCACCGUCAUCAUCAGCAUUAUCCACAUCCUUACCAUUGUAACCUCAGGAACCCUAGUGGACCAUCUUGUGUGUUAUUCGAAUCAUCCAUCCAUGUAUGCCAUCACCCUUGUCAUGAUGUUUGUUGUCUCCACGUGUGAGUAGACCCCUAGUUCUCGGGGAUAUGAUGAACCUUGGUAUGUGUAGGAUCUGAAACGUUAUUUUAGAUAUGAGAUCCUCUGUUGAACGCUUAGGUUAAUAACUUUUUGAAUGUUACUCAUCAUUUGUGCCUUAUGACCAUGAAUUAUAUUAUUGUCAUUGUAAAGGGCUAGGAUGUGAAGGUAAUUCAAGGUGACAGUCAAAGCCUUUACUCCUGACCUUUGCAAUUGAUGGGGCUAUUACGAAGAACCCUUAGAGAAGCCGUGUCCACGGGGCAAAUUCUUAAUUAUCAUGAGUUGUAACCCUAUGGGGAAGACUAUGAUGGUGGCGUGUGUGGCACGAAGUCUACUUCGAGUAGAAUGUGUUCUGUACCCGGAUCCGCCCAGCAUAAUCAUCAAGAGUGGCUCAAGUAUCCAUAACAUACUAUGCCCAAGCAUAUGUGUGCUAGAAACAUACCAAUGGGGAUUCCAGACUCCCUGAGAACGCCUUACUCCUUUGUUGUUCCAUCAGUUAUUCCAGUCAUUAUUCUCUAUUUACUUUUAUGUUAUUUACUUCAAAGUUUGUUCCAUUACUCAAUUACAGUUUAUUUGCGCCCUCACUUUGCUUCGAGUCUACAAUUAUCUACAAGCAUAAAAGUACAUAAUUUGCUACAACAAGCAAAAUUCUGAUUCCGCUGCUCCCUGUGGGAUCGAUACUCUUACAUCGAAAAUGCUACAACUAAAUCCUAUGCACUUGAAGGCCAUCAGGCAGCGUCACCGUCUGUGAUCGUUUGCGUCGCCUCUGCCUCAAUCUUCUCAAAGAGGGGGGGGGUCGCACUCUGCCUCCAUGACGUGGAGCUGCCAAUGCACAUGACGGAUGGUGCAGGCAUUGCGCAAGAACUCGUAGAGCGCCCACUGCUUGUUGACGAAGCCCUGAUCGUCCAUGUCCAUGUCAGCGAUGACUCGUUCGCUAAAGAUCUAGGCUCCGCGAGCUAGUGCUGCUUGAGGAGCUCUAGAUUGUACUGAUGCUCCUCCUACAUCAUCCGAAACGCGGAGACUGGCAGCACCGCCUGCUCCGGUUGCUCGUAUGAAAGGAUUGAUAUAGUUGACUAGAGGGGGGGUGAAUAGGCAACUAACAAUUUUUAGUUUUUCUUUACCAAUUUAAAAUUUGCAUCAAAGUAGGUUAUCUAAAUACGCAACUAGGUGAGAAACCUAUAUGAUGCAACAACAACAAGCACACAAGCAAGUAAGGGAUACAACACAAUAUAAGUUUGCACAAGUAAACGUGAGAGAUAACCAAUAGUGGAGGCGGUAGAGACAAGGAUGUGUUACUGAAAUUCCUUCCCUUUGAGAGGAAGUACGUCUCCGUUGGAGUGGUGUGGGGGCACAAUGCUCCCCAAGAAGCCACUAUGGCCACCGUAUUCUCCUCACGCCCUCACACAAUGCGAGCUGUCGUGAUUCCACUAUUGGUGCCCUUGAAGGCGGCGACUGAACCUUUACAAACAAGGUUGGAGCUCUCUCCACAACUGAAUUGGAGGCUCCCAAUGAAACCACGGAGCUUCACCAUAAUGGAAUGUGGCUUCGAGGUGACCUCAACCGUCUAGGAUGCUCAAACACCCAAGAGUAACAAAAUCCACACAAGAAAGUAUGGGGGAAUCAAAUAUCCUUUGGUGGAAGUGUAGAUCUAGGUCUCCUCCUUCAAUCACUAGCAAAUCAACAAGUUUGAGUGGCUAGAGAGAGAGAGAGAUCGGGCAAGAAAGCUUGAAGGGCAUUAAUGGUGAAGAGAGAGAGAGGCAAGAGGCAAUGGUGGUAGGUGGAAGAACCUCCCUUACAUAGCAAACCCUAAAAUCCAACCGUUACUGCGAAAACAGCACUGCAGCGGUACAACUGCUCCUUGUACCGGGACUCACGGGUAUACUCCAGAAACCCUACCAAGAGGUACAACCGGACAGACAAGUGGUAGUACCGGUUGUGAAGAACAAUCAGAACAACCACUCCGACACCGCUCAACCACCGCUUUGAAAUAGAAUGGAGUCACCCCUAUGAGCGGUGAUCGAGCGGUACUGCGCCGAUGCAACCGCCUGGCCCUGGUACCCUGGGUGGCUAAGUCCUAAGUGGUAGAACCGCUUAGGGCAUCGGUGGUACCGGUGUGUGGAGCACAACCGGAACAACUGGGCCACCACCGCCUGAGUACCGCAUCAAACCAGAACCAUGUCCGGUAGUUGAGCGGUACUUGGCCGGUUUAACCGCCAAUGAGCUCCACGGUUCUUUUUAACCGUGGUGGCGGUACCAUCGCCCGGGGGCAGCGGUACAACCGCUUGGUCAUAUAAUGGGAAGAUCAACCCCAGGGUAUCACCCCUGGGGUGGUGGUUGGGCCGGUACCAAGGGCCAGCGGUACAACCGCUCGAGCGAGCGGUACAACCGCUCAGAGCUCACAACAACAGUUGAAAAAUAAGGAGAGCUCUCUCUCAAGCAAGGAACGGAAGGCCAGGGUGGGUGAGGAAAAAGUGUACGUGCAAUGAUUCACCCAACUCCUUCCGAUGUGGAUUCCCUCUUAAUAGUACGAGUUUCCUACGGCCAAAGAGAUAAACAAGUAGGCAAACACCGUCUUCAAUCUUUUCCUUCCAAAGAGAAUAACUAAACAAUGCAAGCCUAAUCCCGAGAACCUGAAGCACUUAACACAAGAUUAUACCAACAGAGAGUUGUCAUCAUCAUCCAAAAACACAAGGUGAGCUUACAAUCUCCCCCUUUUUGGUGGAUGAUGACAACAACACAAUUUGCAAAAAUAGAGGUCUAGAAAAUAUAGAUGGGACUCCCCCUAGAUGUGUGCACUAUUUUGAAUUUGCUUUUGGAAUGCAAAGGCACACAUUAGGAGCAAGACUCCCCCUAGAUUUUAUAGACCCACCACUCCUACUAGACAUGCGAAGAUAAGCAGUAAGCGCAUAAUAGGAAAGUAAAGACUUAAAGGAUAACCGACAUAAUGAUAGAUAGAGGAGCGCAUGUCUCACACCAUGCAAGACGAGAUAAGUAACAAGAUCCACAAACUGAAGUUCAUCAUAAAGCACAAAAAACACAAACCCAAGAAAAUCCCAUGCAAAUACCGAGACCUAAUAGAACUCUCUCCCCCUUUGGCAUCAAGACACCAAAAAGGAAAAGAGCGAAGCUAGCGCCCCAAUGCUCAGUAGUCCUCCUCUGACUCCUCGGUCGCAUCUGGAUUCUCAUCAUCAGACUCCUCAUCAUCGUCCUUGUUAGCGUCCUCCAUGAGAUCAUCAGCGACAACAAAGGAGGUAGAAGGCUGGCCAUGAGCCUCAUCAUCUGACCAUGUGUUGUGCGCAGAGAUCCACCGGUCCUCAGGGGUGAUGCUCUUCUCAGAUCCACUCUUGACAGGCAUGUUGAGGUGCCUCAUCAUAGCAAUCUGACGAUGCCUGGCAAGCUUCUCAUUGACAUGGGUCUCAUACAUCCACUUCUGAAUGCCAGUCUGGAGGCAGAAGGUCUUCUUUACUUUAGCGGUGAGCUUGGUCACCCAUGAAGGCUUGGCCACUGGCCCCAUCUCAAAGUCCUCAUCAUCUGAAGUGGCAUAGACAUCCUCGGGAUCAUUAGCCGGAAAGAGAGGCUCGGCAUGCUUCUUCUUCUUGAGUUACUUGACCUCAUGCACGGUGAGGUUAUCUGGAGAAGUGAGAAGCUCUCCAGGGUGGCGAACAGCCCAAACUGAGUUCAGAAAGCACAUGACCAAAGGAGCAUAAAUGGGGACCUUUCUGUAGAUGACCAUGCUAUACAUCUCAUGCCACAUCCAGUUGGACACAUCAAAGGUAGCACCAGACCCUACCUUGGUCUUCAUAGAAACAAGCAAAGUCAACUAGGUGCCCAUAGACCUCAUCCUAAUUGCCAACCUUGGGCAAAAGCACAUUGCAAAACACUCGAUGCAUGAUGUCAUAGACCUUCUCAAGAUCCUUGGAUUCUCCAGUAAUGCCUUGUCCACGAAUGUAUAGAGGAGCAAGUUUAUCCUUAGGCAUGGAAUGGGGAUGGUCGUGAGGACGAAUGCCACCAUUCCCUUCGAGACCGGUGUCCUCAUACCCAAUGGCAUUGUAGAAGGCCCUCCAGGGCACUUGAAAGAGCUCGUCAUGGCACAUGAACGAAAGAGUGCGAGCGUCAUCUUCUCCAAAGUGAACACUGGCAUAAAACUGAUGGAUAAGCUGAACAUCAAAGUCACAGUUGACAGACAUGAGCUUGACCAAGUCAAACUCCUCACACAGAGCCAGGGCCUCCCCAAAGUAAUCCAAGUUGCUCCUCCAGUGAUCAAGAUAAAUAGUCCACUGCUUGGCAUACCUAUUCUUGUUGUGCUCAAAGACUUCAUGAAAAAUCCUGACUUGCAUCUCAUUCCGGAACUGAAUGGUGGUCCAACGAGGCGCAAUGGGAACCUCGUAUGGAUUUUUGUCCGAAAGGCUUCCCAAUCCUUGGCUUUCCAUCGGUGCAGGGGCAUGACCACACGUUGCUUGGCAGCGGCAGACUUCUCACGGCGAGUGGUCUUGGUGAGAAUCACAAGUUCUUCUUCUCCAUCAGAUUCAACUGGGCGCUUGCAUCUCCGAACCCUCUAUUGGUCUUAGUACAAGGAGCAAAGCGAGAACCAGAGCCUCCGGAAUCCAUGGGAAGAGGUCGGGAAGGAGGGGGACUCCAUGAAGCGGAUCCACGGAGAGCCUACGGAUCCGGAUCGCGACAAGCACUCCGGGGCAGGGGCAAUGGCGACUGGCGGCUAGGGCAGGAGAUGGAGGAGGAAAGGGGAUAAGCGGAAAAGGGGAAAAUAAAACCCCUUUGGCCCCGACCCUAUAUAUAUGCCCGCAGAUGCGAAGUGGUUGUACCACUCCUUGGAGCGGUUGUACCGCUUCCUGAUACACACCAGUGGUUGCGGGCGGUGAUACGUCUCCAACGUAUCUAUAAUUUUUUAUUGCUCCAUGCUAUUAUAUUAUCUAUUUUGGAUGUUAAUGGGCUUUAUUUUACACUUUUAUAUCAUUUUUGGGACUAACCUACUAACCGGAGGCCCAGCCCAACUUGCUGUUUUUUUUGCCUAUUUUAGGGUUUCGAAGAAAAGGAACAUCAAAUGGAGUCCAAACAGAAUGAAACCUUCGGUAACAUGAUUUUCUCAACAAACGUGAUCCAGGAGACUUGGAGUGGCCGUCAAGAAACAAGGGAGGAAGGCACGAGGCAGGGAGGCGCGCCUACCCCCUGGGUGCGCCCUCCACCCUCGUGGGCCCUCCGUUGCUCCACCGACGUACUUCUUCCUCCUAUAUAAGUCCACGUACCCCCAAAUAUCCAGGAGCACCAUGAAAACCUAAUUCCACCAUUGCAACCUUCCGUACCCGAGAGAUCCCAUCUUGGGGCCUUUUCCGGAGCUCCGCCGGAGGGGGCAUUGAUCACGGAGGGCCUCUAUAUCAACUCCAUGGCCUCUCCAGUGAUGUGUGAGUAGUUUAUUUUAGACCUAUGGGUCCAUAGUUAUUAGCUAGAUGGCUUCUUCUCUCUCUUUGGAUCUCAAUACAAAGUUCUCCUCGAUCUUCUUGGAGAUCUAUUCGAUGUAAUCUUCUUUUGCGGUGUGUUUGUCGAGAUCUGAUGAAUUGUGGGUUUAUCAUCUAGAUUAUAUAUGAACAAUAUUUGUUUCUCCUCUGAAUUCUUUUAUGUAUGCUUGGUUUAUCUUUGCAAGUCUCUUCGAAUUAUCAGUUUGGUUUGGCCUACUAGAUUGAUCUUUCUUGCAAUACGAGAAGUGCUUAGCUUUGGGUUCAAUCUUGUGGUGCUCGAUCCCAGUGACAGAAAGGGAACCGACACGUAUUGUAUUGUUGCCAUCGAGGAUAAAAAGAUGGGGUUUAUAUCAUAUUGCAUGAGUUUAUCCCUCUACAUCAUGUCAUCUUCCUUAAAGCAUUACUCUGUUCUUAUGAACUUAAUACUCUAGAUGCAUGCUGGAUAGCGGUCGAUGUGUGGAGUAAUAGUAGUAGAUGCAGGCAGGAGUCGGUCUACUUGUCUCGGACGUUAUGCCUAUAUACAUGAUCAUACCUAGAUAUUCUCAUAACUAUGCUCAAUUCUAUCAAGUGCUCGACAGUAAUUCGUUUACCCACCGUAAUACUUAUGCUCUUGAGAGAAGCCACUAGUGAAACCUAUGGCCCCCGGGUCUAUCUUCCAUCAUAUUAAUCUUCCAAUACUUAGUUAUUUCUUUUGCCUUUUAUUUUACUUUGCAUCUUUAUCAUAAAAAUACCAAAAAUAUUAUCUUAUCAUAUCUAUCAGAUCUCACUCUCGUAAGUGACCGUGAAGGGCUUGACAACCCCUUUAUCGCAUUGGUUGCGAGGUUCUUAUUUGAGCGUGAUCUCCUACUGGAUUGAUACCUUGGUUCUCAAAAACUGAGGGAAAUACUUACACUACUUUGCUGCAUCACCCUUUCCUCUUCAAGGGAAAACCAAUGCAGUGCUCAAGAGGUAGCAGGCGGUACUUCGGUUGCCUGGAAGGCAACUGUAGUACCACCUGUAACCGAGCGGUAGUACCGGCCAGGAGCACAACCUGGGAUCGAGCGGUGGAACUGCUCAGACACCCCUGGGAGUCCUCCCGGGACGGUACAGACCGGGUGUACUAGCGGUUGAACCGCUAGGGCCACCGUUUGUACUGCCCAGUCAGCAUUACCCAUACCAAGAUCAAGAUGUGUGCAAUUGGAAUAGAUGUUUAUGAGAUAGAUAAGGGCUUGGGAUGGAGCAAGACAUUGGGAUAUGGUGGGAUGAUCUCCAAGAGCAAGAAGCAACCAACGAGAAAAACCUCAACUUGGAGAUCACAACACCUAGGACCUGACAAAGGACAAGUGAAGAGCGAAAAAGACCCAAGGAAACCAACUCCAACUCCCCUUCAAAACGAAGGGCGGUGGCCGAGGCCACCUAUGUUUGAGUGUAAAGGUAUGGCACCGCAAAGAUUUUAACCUUGGGCCCAUUACCAAAACUCAUCUUUGAAGCACAAGUACCAUAAAAAAUGGCUAAUGUGAAAGACUUGAUCAAUUUAUGCAUAAUGGGGGGAGGAAGAGUUCAUUGAGAGAACAAUACCCCUCCUAUGUCCAUGCCUACACCUAGAACAGGACAUCACGAUGAGUAUGGUGGGGUGUACAAAGGUUCAAGCCACAUUGAUCGAAUCAAUGAUAUUUAGCUCAUGCAUUAACUCACGAAAUCUUGCUUCAUCCAAUGCUUCGUGAAGAUAUCUGCAAGGUUAUCAUGAUUGUUGACAUAGUUGAGCUCGAUCUCCCCUCGCCUAAUGUGAUCCCAGAUGAAGUGAUACCGAAUCUCAAUAUGCUUCGUCUUCAAGUGUUGCACCGGGUUGAGAGAAAUCUUGAUGGCACUUUCAUUGUCACACCAAAGAGGCACUUUGUCACAAAUGACACCGUAAUCCUUUCAAGUUUGCCUCAUCCAUAGAAGUUGUGCACAACAACUACCGGCAGCCACAUACUCCGCUUCGGUGGACGAGAGAGACACACAACUUUGCUUCUUAGAAGACCAACUCACUAAAGAGCAAGCAAAGAAAUUGACACCCUCUAGAAGUUGACUUCCUAUCCACUUUGUCUCCUGCCCAAUCUGAGUCCGAAAAGGCCACAAGGUUGAAGUUUGCUCCUCUUGGGUACCAUAAGCCAAAGUUUGGGGUAUGAGCCAAAUAUCUAAAGAUUUGCUUGACCGCCACAUAGUGGCUUUCCUUAGGUGCGGCUUGAAACCGUGCACAAAUUCCCACACUUAACAUGAUAUCCGGUCUAGAUGCACAAAGAUAAAGCAAGGAGCCAAUCAUGGAGCGAUAUACCUUUUGAUCCACCACUUUACCAUUGGGAUCUAUGUGAAGUUGGCAUUUGACAGGCAUCAGAGUGGAAGCCGGCUUGACAUCACUUAGCUUGAAUCUCUUGAGCAUGUCUUGAGUAUAUUUGGCUUGUUUGAUGAAGGUUCCUUCUCUUCUUUGCUUGAUUUCGAACCCGAGAAAAAACUUCAACUCUCCCAUCAUGAACAUCUUAAACUUCGAGGUUAUGAGAGCGGCAAAUUCCUCAUUGAAAGCUUUGUUAGGGGAACCAAAGAUAAUAUCAUCAACAUAUAGUUGGCAUACAAACAACUCCCCUUUGAGCUUCUUAGUAAAAAGAGUGCGGUCGAUUUUCCCAAUUUCAAACCCACGAUCUUGCAACAACUCGGUAAGGUGCUCAUACCACGCAUGUGGGGCUUGUUUAAGGCCAUAUAGUGCCUUACCGAGUUGGUACACAUGAUCGGGGAAAUAGGGAUCCUCGAACCCCGGGGGUUGUUUGACAUACAUCAACUCAUUAAUAGGACCAUUAAGUAAAGCACUCUUCACAUCCAUUUGUUGCAAAUUGAAGUUAUGAUGAGAGGCAUAAGCAAUCAACAAACGAAUAGAUUCAAGGCGAACAACGGGAGCAAAGGUUUCACCAUAGUCGAUACCCUCGACUUGGGAGUAGCCUUGUGCUACCAACCGAGCCUUGUUGCGAACGAUAAUCCCAUGAGCAUCUUGUUUGUUCUUGAAUAUCCACUUGGUUCCAAUGACAUUAUGGUUCCCGGUUGGCCUUGGCACCAAUAUCCACACCUUGUUGUGCUCAAAGUUGUUGAGUUCUUCAUGCAUGGCAUUAAGCCAAUCCGGAUCCUCGAGCGCCUCAUAGACCUUUUGGGGUUCAACACAAGAAACAAAUGCGUGAUGUUCACAAUAGUUUGCUAAUUGUCUAUGAGUGCUUACCCCCUUUCUUAAGCUUCCAAGAGCACUAUUCAUGAGAUGAUCUUUGGUACUGAGCUUGGAUGCAAUCUUAGCGACACGACGCUCUAAUUCCUCCUCGGGAGUAAGUUGAGGAGCGGUAGCUUGAUCAUCUUGAGCGUCGUUUUGAGCCUGUUCUUGAUCAUGAGCUUGAUCUUGAUCUUGAACUUGCUAGAAGGUGAGAACUUGACCUUGGGCAUCACUUGGUGGUUCACCACCAUCUUGAGGUUGAUCUUGCCCUUGAUCUUGUUCAUUUUGUUGAGGGCCUUCCCUUUGUUCUUCAGAAGCGUGUGGGUCUUGGGUUGUUGAUGGUUCCACUUGAGUGGAACAUUGUCCUUCUCCUUCGGCCACAAGGGGUUCCUCAAUGGGUAGGAUAUAACCAACACCCAUUCUUAUUAUGGCUUGGGGAGGAAUUUCAUCACCUACAUCACAAGUAUCACUUUGCUCCACUUGGGAGCCAUUAUUCUCAUCAAACUCCAUGUUACACGUCUCCUCAAUAAGUCCCGUGGACUUAUGGAGGACACGGUAAGCAUGAGAGUUUGUAGCAUAACCAACAAAUAUGCCCUCAUGAGCUCUAGCAUCAAAUUUAGACAAACGAACACCUUUCUUGAGAAUGAAACACUUAGACCCGAACACCCGGAAGUACUUGAGGUUGGGCUUGUUACCGGUGAGUAUCUCAUAUGGAGUUUUGUUCAAGCCUUUGCGGAGGUAGAGCCGAUUGGAUGCAUGACACGCGAUGUUGAUGGCUUUGGGCCAAAAGUUGUAUGGAGACUUGAACUCCGCCAUCAUGGUCCUUGCCACAUCCAUCAACAUUUGGUUCUUCCUCUCCGCUACAUCAUUUUGUUGAGGGGUGUAAGGUGCGGAAUAUUGAUGCUUGAUCCCCUCAUCACUAAGAAACUCAUCCAAGGUGUAGUUCUUGAACUCGGUGCCGUUGUCACUUCUUAUCGUCAAGAUCUUUGCAUUGUGUUGGUGUUGAGCUUCAUUUGCAAAGUCGAUGGCGGUUUGUUGGGUCUCUCUUCCUUUUGAAGAAAUAUACCCAAGUGUAUCUUGAAUACUCAUCCACAAUCACCAAGAAAUACUUUCUACCCCCAAUACUAUCAAAGGAUGGAGGUCCAAAGAGAUCCAAGUGAAGGAUCUCCAAGGGCCUCUUCGAGUAGAUGAUAGUCGUGGGAGGGUGAGCCUUCUCAUGUAGCUUUCCUUCUAUACAAGCACUGCAAGCACGAUCUUUGGAAAAGCUAACAUUUGUUAGUCCACGGACAUGGUCCCUCUUGAGAAUACUUUGCAAAGAUCUCAUAUUGACAUGAGCUAAACGAUGAUGCCAAAGCCAUCCCACGUCAACUUUAGCCAUUAGGCAUGUUGCGGUCUUAGUGGGUCGCUCCGAAAAGUUAAUCACAUAAAGACCAUUCUCGACAUGCCCAACAAAGGCUACUUUAAGAGUCUUUCUCCACAAGAGGGCCACGGUAUCAAUAUCAAAGAAAGUGGCAAAGCCCAUGAGUGCAAGUUGACGAACGGAAAGUAAGUUGUAUGCAAGGGACUCAACAAGCAUGACUUUCUCGAUCGUGAGAUCAUGAGAAAUGACAACCUUGCCAAGACCCAAUACCUUAGAAGACGAGGCAUCACCCCACUCGACAUUGGUGGGCAUAGAUGAAAUCUUGUGCACGUACACCACCAAGUCCUUGCUCCCGUUCAUAUGAUUUGUGGCUCCACUAUCGAACAACCAUGACCCCCCACCAGAAGCAAACACCUACAAGAGAUCAAUGCUUGGUUUUAGGUACCCAUUUUGCAAUGAGUCCUUUGAUGUUAGUAACAAGGGUCUUAGGAACCCAAAUAGACCAUUCAAUAUUCUCAUAAGGAGAACCAACAAAUUUAGCAUGGCAUAGCACAUAAGAAGGGUUAAAGUCACCGACUUUAUUGGAAGGGGUGGCAUUGCUCUUCUUGACACCACCACCCUUCACAUUGUUCUUCUUCUCCUUAGAAGCACCAUCUCCCUCCUUCACAAAAGUUUGCUUGAGAGGAGGAGGUCAUUUGGCCUUGUCAUUCUUCUUCUUGUUCUUGGACUUGGGUGCAAACCCAACUCCCGGCCUCCUUGCCCACAACUUCCUUUUGAUUGCUCAAAAGGCCGUUGAGGUUCUUCUCACCUUGAAUGCAAGACACAAGGCCUUUCUCAAGUUGCUCCUUCAACUUUGCUUUCUCCUCCACAAGAUGCACAUGCUCACAACAUGUGUUAGUAGCAUUUGCGUUAUCAAUUAAAACCAUAUGAGGAAAAGUGGCCUUUUCCUUGGUUAGCUUCACUUGGAGUUGAUCAUCAGACUCCUUGAGGCUAGCAUGAGCACCCUUCAAGGCCUUGUGGGCCUUGUCAAGUAUGUCAAACUCCUCCUUGAGUCUAGCAAGAUCAACCCCAAGUUUUACCUUCUCGGAAUUGAGUACACGAGAUACAACAAGAGCAUGAUCAAGAUCUUUCUUUAAUUUAGCAUGAUCAUCGUUGUGUGACUCCUCAAGAGCCAAAUGAUGCCCACGCUCUUCCUCAAUCUCAUUAGAGAGAUUCGAUAUCUCAUCGGCAUAGUCAUGACUAUGCCCCUCCAUCUUAGAGAUGGUGUCUUCAUGAGCCUCGAUCAUGUCAUUGGCUUCACCAAGUUGUUCCAAGAGAGCAACGAAGUGCUUCUUGGAUUUACCCUUGAGCUUACUCAUAAAAGACUCAAAUUCAUUUUCUUCCUCAUUAGACCCCUCACUUUCAUCAAUGCAAUCCGUUAAACAGGGAUUAGUAGUGACGGUGGUUUUGAUGUUGGGGGUUACCUUGUUGGUGGCUUUGGCCAUGAGGCACUUGGCGGUGAUGUUCUCGUUGGGUGAGUCAAAGAGGGACACUCGUGGAGUUGUUGCAAUGGCAACGGAGGCCAUGGCAACCACCUCACCGUCUUCAUCAUCGUCAUCAUCCUCAUUGUACUCUUCUUGUGCCACCAACCCCUUGGGAGGAGUCUUCUUGGUGAAGUUGUUCUUAUUGGGGAAAUACUUGGCCUUGUCUUUUCGGAUGAGCUUGCCACCAUUGUCUUCCCUCUUCUCAUAUGGGAACUCCGCAAAAAAUGGCUCACAUUGCCACAAUUAUAGCAUGUCCUCACACGUUGCUUGCCCUUGGCGCCACUUGAGUUGUUCUUGUUGAAGUUGGGCCUUGAGUUCUUCUUGCUCCAAAAUUGCCUUGACGCGAGAGACAUGUGCUCAUGAUAAGCAUAUUUUGAUCUUCGGGGUUACCCUCCUCUUCUUCCUAUUCAUCCUCUUCUUCCACACUAGCCUUGGCCUUCAAGGCAAGGUUGGGCUUAUUUGCGCAUUGAGAAUGCAACACCGCAUUGUCGGCGGUCUUUUCCAAGAUCCUCAUUGCAACAAACUCAUCCAACACUUCACUUGAGGACAAGGUGUGGAAGUCCGGCCUUUGACGGAUGACGGAGGACAUGGCCUUAUGGUAAGGCAUCAUGGCCUUGAGAAAGUUGCGCUUGAUACAAUUGUCAUCCCUAUAUUUACUCCCAUGAUCUCAGAGUGAGACCGCGAGAGUGGUUAAUCUCCGAUAAAGCUCACAAGGUUCUUCAUCUUCAUUCAUUGCAAAUUCACCGGCUUCAUCUUGAACCACUUCAUAGUUGGAGCGUUGAAUGCUUGUGUUUCCCUUGUAAAUGGAAACAAAAUGUUUCCAUGCUUCCUUGGCCACAGUGAAAGGUCGGAGAUGUGCAAUAUCUUCGGGAGGGAUGGCCUCUUGGAGAAUGCAAAGAGCGGACUCAUUGAAUUGAUGAUCCGCGGCUUCUCUAGGAGUGAAGUUGCUUGGGUCAUGCGGGUAGAAACCUUGCUCAAUAAUUCUCCAAAGGUUAGUAGAACUAUGAUUUAAAUGACGUUUAAACCGAUAGACCCAAGAGGCAAAAUCCUCAUUUUUCACAAGCUUAGGAGGAGGACCAACAUGAUUCAAAUGAGUGGAGGGAACCAGUCCUCCAUAAGUAAGGGGUGGUUCAACAUGGGCAAAGAUGUCAUUUCCACUUCUACCACCAGACAAAGAAACUUUAUCACUAGUAGCUUCCCCCUUGUCAGAGUUAGCAUCUGUCACCUUGUUAGUGGGAUCGACCACUUCCAACGGUGCGGUGGAUAUUUUAAGACCAUCAAGAAAGUUCUUAAGCAUGCCUUUGACCUCGGCCGUCAUAGAGGUUUUCAAUGUGUCCAAGGCCACAUUGAACUCCUCACGAGAGAUCGAGGUUCCCCCAUUGGCCGUAGACGAGGACGGAAUCACACCAGGGUGCUCCUCCCCACCGUCUACGGUGUCAACCAUACUCUUCAGACGACAAAGUACUUAAUAAAGAGAUGAGGCUCUGAUACCAAUUGAAAGGAUCGAUAUAGUUGACUAGAGGGGGUGAAUAGGCAACUAACAAUUUUUAGCUUUUCUUUACCAAUUUAAACUUUGCAUCAAAGUAGGUUAUCUAGAGAUGCAACUAGGUGAGCAACCUAUAUGAUGCAACAACAAGCACACAAGCAAGCAAGGGAUACAACACAAUAUAAGCUUGCACAAGUAAAGGUGAGAGAUAACUAAUAGUGGAGCCGGUAGAGAAAAGGAUGUGUUACUGAAGUUCCUUCCCUUUGAGAGGAAGUACGUCUCCAUUGGAGCAGUGUGGAGGCACAAUGCUCCCCAAGAUGCCACUAGGGCCACAGUACUCUUCGCACGCCCUCACACAAUGUGAUAUGCCAUGAUUCCACUAUUGGUGCCCUUGAAGGCGGCGACCGAACCUUUACAAACAAGGUUGGGGCUCUCUCCACAACUGAAUUGGAGGCCCCCAAUGAAACCACGGAGCUUUACCACAAUGGAAUGUGGCUCCGAGGUGACAUCAACCGUCUAGGGUUCUCAAACACCCAAGAGUAACAAAAUUCACACAAGAAAGUAUGGGGGAAUCAAAUAUCCUUUGGUGGAAGUGUAGAUCUAGGUCUCCUCCUUCAAUCACUAGCAAAUCAACAAGUUUGAGUGGCUGUAGAGAGAGAUCGGGCAAGAAAGCUUGAAGGGAAUUAAUGGAGAAGUGAGGUAGGCAAGACGUAAUGGUGGUAGGUGGAAGAACCUCCCUUAUAUAGCAAACCCUAAAAUCCAACCGUUACUGCGAAAAUAGCACUGCAGUGGUACAACCGCUCCUUGUCCCGGUACAACCGGGACUCACGGGUAUACUGCAGAAACCCUACCAAGCGGUACAAUCGGACAUACAAGCGGUAGUACCAGUUGUGAAGAACAACCGGAACAACCGCUCAGCCACCGCUCAAUCAUUGGUUUGAAACAGAAGGGAGUCACCCCUGUGAGCGGUGAUCGAGCGGUACUACGCCAGUGCAACCGCCUGGCCCUGGUACCCUGGGUGGCUAAGUCCUAAGCGGUAGAACCUCUCAGGGCACCGGUGGUACUGGUGUGUGGAGCACAACCGGAACAACCGGGCUACCACCGCCCGAGUACAGCAUCAAACCAGAACCAUGUCCGGUAGUUGAGUGUGAUGUCUACUAUGCAACUUUAUUCUUGUAGACAUGUGUUGGGCCUCCAAGCGCAGAGUUUUGUAAGACAAUAGCAAUUUUCCCUCAAGUGGAUGACCUAAGGUUUAUCAAUCCGUGAGAGGUGUAGGAUGAAGAUGGACUCUCUCAAACGACCCUGCAACCAAAUACAAGAAAUCUCUUGUGUCCCCAACACACCCAAUACAAUGGCAAAUUGUAUAGGUGCACUAGUUUGGCGAAGAGAUGGUGAUACAAGUGUAAUAUGGAUGGUAGAAAUAUAUUUUUAUAAUCUGAAUAAAUAAAAACAACAAGGUAGCAAAUAGUAAACGGGCACAAAAACGGUGUUGCAAUGCUUAAAAACAAGGCCUAGGGUCCGUACUUUUGCUAGUGCAAUCUCUAAAUAAUGCUAACAUAGUUGGAUCAUAUGAUUAUCCCUCAAAGUGUAAUGAAGAAUCACUCCCUAGUUCCUAUCAGCGGAGAACAAAAGAUAGGAAUUGUUUAUAGGGUACGAAGCCACAUCAAAGCUAUUCUUUCCGAUCUAUCUAUUCAAGAGUUCGUACUAAAAUAACACAAAGCUAUUGUUUUUGUUCGAUCUAUCCUAGAGUUCGUACUAGAAUAACACCAAAGCAAAUUCAUAUUCAUAAUACUCAAUCCACACAAAGAACUACAAAGAGUGCCCCAAGAUUUUUACCGGAGAAACAAGGACAAGAACGUGCAUCAACCCCUAUGCAUAGAUUACCCCAAUGUCACCACGGGAAUCUGCAAGUUGAGUGCCCAAACAUAAAUCAAGUGAAUCAAUAUGGUUCCCCAUUGUCACCACGAGUAUUCAACUGCAAGACUACAUCAAGUGUUCUCAAAUCCAUAAAAGUAUUCAAUCCGAUAAGCACGAAAUCUCAAAGGGAAAAACUCAAUUCAUCACAACAAGAUAGAGAGGGGAAACCACCAUAUGAUCCGACUAUAUUAACAAAGCCCGUGAUACAUCAAUAUCGUGACAUCUCAUGAAGACAAGAGAGAGAGAGAGAGAGAGAGAGAUUAAACACAUAACUACUGGUAUAAACCCUCAGCCCCGAGGGUUGACUACUCCCUCUUCAUCGUGGUGGCCGCCGGGAUGAUGAAGAUGGCCACCGGAGAUGAUUCCCCCCUCCGGCAGGGUGCCAGAACGGGUCUAGAUUGGUUUUCGAUGGCUAUGGAGCCCUACAGCGGCGGAAUUUCUGAUCUAGGUUAACCCCGAAGGGUUUCGGAAUAUUUGGGAAUUUAUAGUGCAAAGAGGGGGUUCGGGAGGCCACCGAGGUGAGCACAACCCACCUGGGCGCGCUAGGGGGCCCUAGCACGCCCUGGUGGGUUGUGCCCCCUCGGGGCACCCCCAGGUGCAGCUCUGGCCCAUUGGGUUCCUUCUGGUCCAAAAUAAAUCUCCAAAAAGUUUCGCGGUGUUUGGACUCCGUUUGAUAUUGAUUUUCUGCGAUGUAAAAAAACAAGCAAAAAACAACAACUGGCACUAGGCACUGGGUCAAUAGGUUAGUCCAAAAAAUGUAUAAAGUUGCUAUAAAAUGAUUGUAAAACAUCCAUGAAUGAUAAUAUAUUGGCAUGAAUACUUCAUAAAUUAUAGAUACGUUGGGCCAAGCUUAAUUCCUACUCGUCAUUGAGUAGGUAAUUGAUAAAAGAAAUAAUUUAUGAAGUGUGAAUGCUAGCAAAGUGCACAAGUUUGAUCAAUGAUAAUUUCAAUCACUUCUCCUAGCAUCAUAACAUCAAUUCUUUCUUAUGAAACUUCUCAUGUUAUAGUGGCAACCAAUUCACAUGUUAAGGUUCAAACAAUGAAUUCUCUUGAAACCCAACAACCUAUGUUCUUAGUCACCAAGCAAUUGCAAUUCAACUUAUUCAACAGAGUUUAAGUAAGAGCUCCGCAUACUCAACCAUCAUAUGGUAUUCUAUGAUUUCUAACACUCACGUUGUACACAUGAGCAAAACGUCUCAACCGGACACAUAGAAAGAUAGGGGCUUAUUGUUUUGCCUCCCAACGUAUUCACCUCCAGGGUGACGUCUACAAUAAUAACUCAUGCUGCCCAUAUUCAACUGGACAUAUGUGCCCAGAUCUUUCCUCACCACAUGAUUCUUGCCAAAAAAGAAAAUAAAAAGGAAUAUAGAGGAAUACUUCGACUCUUUGCAUAAAAGUAAAUACUGAAAAGUAAAAGAUAGGCCCUUCGCAGAGGGAAGCAGAGGUUGCCAUGCGCUUAUUUGUUUGUAUGCUCAAUCCUUAGUGCAAAAUAACGUCACGUUAUAUUGCCCCUUGUGAUAGCAACCUUUAUUAUGCAGUCUGUCGCUUUUAUUGCUCUACCAUCGCAAGUUUGUACAACGCUCAAUUUUAUCUUACCCAAAAUGAUCUCACACUUUUAGGAGCAAUUUUUAUUGCCUUAUUGCACCGAUGACAACUUACUUGAAGGAUCUUGCUCAAUCCUUAGGUAGGUAUGGUGGACUCUUGAAAAUAAGAUUUGGGUUUAAGGGUUUUUGGAUGCACAAGUAGUAUCUCUACUUGGUGCGGAAUUUCUGGCUAGCAAAGACGGGGGGCAAGCACCACAUGUUGAAGGAUCUAUGACAAUAUAACUUCUAUAUGAAUAUGAACAAACAUAAACCAUUACAUUGUCUUCCUUGUCCAACGUCAACAAUUUUGGCAUAUAAUAUUUUGAUGGUGGCUCACAAUCACAAAAGAUUUCCAUGAUAGUGUAUUUAUAUGUGAAAGUUCUCUUAUACUAAUUAUUAGUGAAUUGCUUGUAUGACCAAUAUUGUGAUUGUCAAGCCUCAAAAGAUUUCACUUUCUAAACCCAAUGUGAAGCUACCACUAGGCAUGAUAUGAUUUCAACUUCAUGAUAUUUAAUUUAUUCAACAAUUUACUCAUAGGAUAUAAGUGAAGCACAAGAGUAAAUGACAUAGAAAAGAGCUUCAUUGACGGGAUGUGAAUGCCACUUACUUAGCCUCCCUGGCAAUUAUUUGAGGACUCUAUUUUAUUUAAAAACUUUAAAAUUUAAGUAUCUUAUUAAAACAGCAAGCAAAACAAAACAAAAUGACAUUUCUACAAUAGCACACAUCAUGUGAAGAAGCAAAAACUUAGGAUCAACCGAUACUAACCGAUAAUUGUUGAAGAAAAAAGGUGGGAUGCCUACCGGGGUAUCCCCAAGCUUAGAGGCUUGAGACCUCUUUAAAUACUGUCUUUGGGUGCCUUGGGCAUCCCCAAUCUUGAGCUUUUGUGUCUCCUUAAUUCCUAUCAUAUCACGGUUUUUCUAAAUUUCAAAAGCUUCAUCCACACAAAACUCAACAAGAACUUGUGAGAUAAGUUAGUAUAAACCAAUACAAAAACCUUAUCAUUCUCUACUGUAGCAAAUCACUAAAAUUAUUAUUGAACACUGCAUACUAAAUGCCUCUGCAUAUUUAAUACUCCUAUCCUCAAAUAGAAUCAUUAAACAGGCUAACAUAUGCAAACAAUGCAAACAUAACAACAAUCUGCCAAACCAGUACAGUCUUAAAGAAUGCAAGAGUAUCAAUAAUUAUUCACCAAACAUUAUGAAAAUUUACCACACUGUAGAAAAUUUAUCAGAGCUCAUUUUUCAUAAAGUUUCGACAUUUUAUCACAUUCUGACUUUUCUAGGGAAUUUUUGUAACAGCAGUAAACUUUCUGUUUUCAAACAGCAACAUGUAGACUUGUAAAAUAAGCAUAGUAAAGGCUAUCAAUGCCACUUUUAUUGAAAUAAAAGAUGCAAAACAUUAUUCUAAAUAACAGAAAGCAAAUCCUAACGAAAUUAAAUGGUGCUCCAAGUAAAACACAUAUCAUGUGACGAAUGAAAACAUAGCUCCAAGUGAGGUUUCCGAUAAUGUUGGAGACGAAAGAGGGGAUGCCUUCCGGGGCAUCCCCAAGCUUAGUUGCUUGGAUCUUCCUUGAAUAUUACCUUGGGGUGCCUUGGGAAUCCCCAAUCUUAGGGUCUUGUCACUCCUUAUUCUCCUCAUAUCGAUAUCUCAUCCAAAACUUGAAAACUUCAAUCACACAAAACUUAACGGAACUUUGUGAGAUAGGUUAGUAUGAUAAAGAGUAAACCAUUCCCCUUUUGGUACUGCAAAACACAAGAUUCAUAAUUGUUCUCACACAAUUCCUACUAUAGCAUAUCAUUUCCACAAUUUAUAUUGAGCAAUAUAAGCCAUAGAAACUAGAAAACAAGCAAACUAUGCAUUGAAAACAGAAUCUGUCAAAAACAGAACAGUCUGCAGUAAUCUGCACCCAAACCAUACUUCUGCUACUCCAAAAAUUCUGAACAUUUAGGAACAUGUGAGAAAUUUGUCUAUUAAUCUUCUUCAAAAAGAAUCAGCAUUUUAUCAUGCUUCUGUGUUAAAUGAUAAUUAUUUUCCUAAGCACAAAAGUUUCUGUUUUCCAGCAAGAUCAAAUCAACUAUCACCGUAAGCCAUCCCAAAGGUCUUACUUGGCACUUUAUUAAAACGAAAGCAAUAAAACAUGAGUACUGCAGUAGUCUAAUCAUGUGAACACACAAAAACAGUAUGUAAAAGUGUUGGGUUGUUUCCCAACAAGCGCUUUUCUUUUAUGCCUUUUAAGCUAGGCAUGAUGAUUUCAAUGAUGCUCGCAUAAAAGAUAAUAAUUGAAACACAAAGAGAGCACCAUGAAGCAUAUGACUAGCACAUUUAAGUCUAACCCACUUCCUAUGCAUAGGGAUUUUGUGAGCAAACAACUUAUGGGAACAAGAAUCAACUACCAUAAGAAGGCAAAACAAGUGCAACUUCAAAACUUUCAACACAUAGAGAGGAAACUUGAUAUUAGUGAGAAGCCUACAAGCAUAUGUUCCUCUCUCAUAAUAAUUUUCAGUAGCAUCAUGAAUGAAUUCAACAAUAUAACUAUCACAUAAAGCAUUAUUUUCAUGAUCCACAAGCAUAGAAAUUUUCUUACUCUCCACAUCAGCAAAUUUAUUCUCAUGAAUAGUAGUGGGAGCAAACUCAACAAAAUAACUAUCAUGAGAUUGAAAAUUAAAAUCAUGAUGACAAGUUUCAUGGUCAUCAUUAUUCUUUAUAGCAUACAUGUCAUCACCAUAAUCAUCAUAGAUAGCAAUUUUGUUAUCAUAAUCAAUUGCAACCUCCUCCAAAAUAGUGGAUUCAUCAUUAAAUAAAGUCACAACCUCUCCAAAUCCACUUUCAUCAAUAUAAUCAUCAUAAAUAGGAGGCAUGCAAUCAUCAUAAUAAAUUUUCUCAUCAAAACUUGGGGCACUAAAAAUAUCAUAUUCAUCAAAUAUAGCAUCCCCAAGCUUAUGGCUUUGCAUAUCAUUAGCAUCAUGGAUAUUCACAAAAUUCAUGCUAACAACAUUGCAAUCAUGCUCAUCCUUCAAAUAUUUUGUGCCCAACAUUCUAUUGACUUCUUCUAACAAUUGAGCACAAUUUUCCGAUACAUCAUUUUCAAGAAAGAUAUUAUAAAGAUGAUCAAUAAUAUGAUGCAACCUAAAUUCUAUUUUUUGUAGUUUUCCUUUAUAAACCAUACUAGUGAUAAAACAAGAAACUAAAAUAUUCAAUUGCAAGAUCUAAAGAUAUACCUUCAAGCACUCACCUCCCUGGCAACGGCGCCAGAAAAGAGCUUGAUGUCUACGACGCAACUUUAUUCUUGUAGACACGUGUUGGGCCUCCAAGCGCAGAGUUUUGUAGGACAAUAGCAAUUUUCCCUCAAGUGGAUGACCUAAGGUUUAUCAAUCUGUGAGAGGUGUAGGAUGAAGAUGGUCUCGCUCAAACGACCCUGCAACCAAAUACAAGAAAUCUCUUGUGUCCCCAACACACCCAAUACAAUGGCAAAUUGUAUAGGUGCACUAGUUCGGUGAAGAGAUGGUGAUACAAGUGUAAUAUGGAUGGUAGAAAUACAUUUUUAUAAUCUGAAUAAAUAAAAACAGCAAGGUAGAAACUACUAAAUGAGCACAAAAACAGUGUUGCAAUGCUUAAAAAUAAGGCCUAGGGUUUGUACUUUCGCUAGUGCAAUCUCUCAACAAUGCUAACAUAGUUGGAUCGUAUGAUUAUCCCUCAAAGUGUAACAAGAAUCACUCCCUAGUUCCUAUUAGCGGAGAACAAAAGAUAGGAAUUAUUUGUAGGGUACGAAGCCACCUCAAAGCUAUUCUUUCCGAUCGAUCUAUUCAAGAGUUCGUACUAAAAUAACACAAAGCUAUUGUUUCCGUUCGAUCUAUCCUAGAGUUCGUACUAGAAUAACACCAAAGCAAAUUCAUAUUCAUAAUAUUCAAUCCACACAAAGAACUACAAAGAGUGCCCCAAGAUUUUUACCAGAGAAACAAGGACACGAACGUGCAUCAACCCCUAUGCAUAGAUUACCCCAAUGUCACCACGGGAAUCCGCAAGUUGAGUGCCCAAACAUAAAUCAAGUGAAUCAAUACGCUACCCCAUUGUCACCACGAGUAUUCAAUUGCAAGACAUAUAUCAAGUGUUCUCAAAUCCAUAAAAGUAUUCAAUCUGAUAACCAUGAAAUCUCAAAGGGAAAAACUCAAUUCAUCACAACAAGAUAGAGAGGGGAAAACACCAUAUGAUCCGACUAUAUUAACAAAUCCCGCGAUACAUCAAGAUCGUGACAUCUCAAGAACACGAGAGAGAGAGAGAGAGGGAGAGAGAGAGAGAUUAAACACAUAGCUACUGGUACAAACCCUCAGCCUCGAGGGUGGACUACUCCCUCCUCAUCGUGAUGGCCGCCGGGAUGAUGAAGAUGGCCACCGGAGAUGAUUCCCCCCUCCGGCAGGGUGCCGGAACGGGUCUAGAUUGGUUUUCGAUGGCUAUGGAGCCCUGCGGCGGCGGAACUUCUGAUCUAGGUUAACCCCGAUAUCCUUCUGAUCUAGCUUAACCCCUUCGCUACUAGCAUCAUAACAUCAAUAUCCUUUGGUGGAAGUGUAGAUCUAGGUCUCCUCCUUCAAUCACUAGCAAAUCAAACAAGUUUGAGUGGCUAGAGAGAGAGAGAUCGGGCAAGAAAGCUUGAAGGGCAUUAAUGGUGAAGAGAGAGAGGAAAGAGGCAAUGGUGGUAGGUGGAAGAACCUCCCUUAUAUAGCAAACCCUAAAAUCCAACCAUUACUGCGAAAACAGCACUGCAGCAGUACAACCGCUCCUUGUACCGGGACUCACGGGUAUACUCCAGAAACCCUACCAAGAGGUACAAUCGGACAGAAAAGCAGUAGUACCAGUUGUGAAGAACAAUCAGAACAACUGCUCAGCCACCGCUCAACCACCGCUUUGAAACAGAAGGGAGUCACCCCUUUGAGCGGUGAUCGAGCAGUACUGCGCCGGUGCAACCGCCUGGCCCUGGUACCCUAGGUGGCUAAGUCCUAAGCGGUAGAACCGCUUAGGGCACCGGUGAUACCGGUGUGUGGAGCACAACCGGAACAACCGGCCCACCACUGCCUGAGUACCGCAUCAAACCAGAACCAUGUCCGGUAGUUGAGCGGUACUUGGCCGGUUUAACCGCCAAUGAGCUCCACGGUUCUUUUUAAGCGUGGUGGAGGUACCACCGCCCGGGGGCAGCGGUACAACCGCUUGGUCAUAUAAUGGGAAGAUCAACCCCAGGGUAUCACCCCUGGGGUGGUGGUUGGGCCGGUACCAAGGGCCAGCAGUACAACCGCUCGAGCGAGCGGUACAACCGCUGAGAGCUCACAACAACAGUUGAAAAAUAAGGAAAGCUCUCUCUCAAGCAAGGAAUGGAAGGCCAAGGUGGGUGAGGAAAAAGUGUACGUGCAGUGGUUCACCCAACUGCUUCCGAUGUGGAUUCCCUCUUAAUUGUACGGGUUUCCUAUGACCAAAGAGAUAAACACUUAGACAAACACUGUCUUUGAUCUUUUCCUUCCAGAGAGAAUAACUAAACGAUGCAAGCCUAAUCCCGAGAACCUGAAGCACUUAACACAAGAUUAGACCAAUAGAGAGUUUUCAUCAUCAUCCAAAACACAAGGUAGGGAAAUGACCAUACACCGUCCUCCGCCAUGACUGUGUCUAAGUGUGCCUGCUUAUACACCAUGUGGAUCCCACAAUCGGCAUGGGGGUGGGCACCUGCUUCAGCUCAUUGUCAAAUGCCUCCUCAAGCAUACGGACCUCAUCCUCGGAGCUCUCCUCAGUGAGCUACGAGGCAGUCCCGCCUCUAUGAGUUUCGUGUUGGGCCUGUGAGUCAUGGACGAUGCUGAAGGAAAUAUGCCCUAGAGGCAAUAAUAAAGUUGUUAUUUUAUAUUUCCUUAUUCAUGAUAAAGGUUUAUUAUUCAUGCUACAAUUGUAUUGAUCGGAAACUUAAAUACAUGUGUGAAUACAUAAACAAAUACAAUGUCCCUAGUAAGCCUCUACUAGACUAGCUCGUUGAUCAAAGAUGGUUAAGGUUUCCUAACCAUAGACAUGUGUUGUCAUUUGAUAACAUGAUCACAUCAUUAGGAGAAUGAUGUUAUGGACAAGACCCAUCUGUUAGCUUAGCAUAUUGAUCGUUCAGUUUAUUGCUAUUGCUCUCUUCAUGUCAAAUACGUAUUCCUUCGACUAUGAGAUUAUGCAACUCCCGGAUGCCAGAGGAAUGCCUUAUGUGCUAUCAAACGUCACAACGUAACUGGGUGAUCAUAAAGAUGCUCUACAGGUAUCUCCAAAGGAGUUUGUUGAGUUGGCAUAGAUCGAGAUUAGGAUUUGUCACUCCGAGUACCAGAGAGGUAUCUCCGGGCCGUCUCGGUAAUACACAUCAUAAUCUUGCAAGCAAAUGACUAAGGAGUUAGUCACAAGGUGAUGUAUUACGGAACGAGUAAAUAGACUUAAUGGUAACGAGAUUAAACUAGGUAUAGAGAUACCGACGAUCGAAUCUUGGGCAAGUAACAUAUCGAUGACAAAGGGAAUUACUUAUGUUGUCAUAACGGUUCGACCGAUAAAGAUGUUCAUAGAAUAUGUAGGAGCCAAUAUGGGCAUCUAGGUUCCUCUAUUGGUUAUUGACCGGAGAGGUGUCUCAGUCAUGUCUACAUAGUUCUCGAACCCGUAGGGUCCACACGCUUAACGUUCAUUGACAAUAUAGUAUUAUAUGAGUUAUGUCAUUUGGUUACCGAAUGUUGUUCAGGGUCCCAAAUGAGAUCACGGACAUGACGAGGAGUCUCUAAAUGUUCGAGACGUAAAGAUUGAUAUAUAGGACGAUGAUAUUUGGACACCGGAAGUGCUUUGGGUGGUAUCAGGUAUUUAUCGGGUCUCCGGAAGGGGUUCUGGGCAGCCCCAAUAGGUUUUUGGGCCUUAUGGUCCAAAAGGGGAAGAGCACACCAACCCACAAGGGGCUGGCGCGCCCUCUACCCCCUACCCACGCACCAAAGGAGGGAGGGAAGGAAAGGGGGGCGCCCUAAGGCACCAUCUCCCUUUCCUUCCCCCUCAUGUCCAAAAAAGGGAAGGGGGCACAGGGGCAAGGCAGCAGCCCUAGGGCUGCCGCCAGGUCUCUUGGGGCGCCCUAGGGGCUGCCUCCUCCCCUCCCACCUAUAUAUAUGUGGGGAGGUGAUGUCUACUACACAUCCUUCUUCUUGUAGACGUUGUUGGACCUCCAAGUGAAGAGGUUUGUAGGACAGUAGUAAAUUUCCCUCAAGUGGAUGACCUAAAGUUUAUCAAUCUGUGGGAGGUGUAGGAUGAAGAUGGUCUCUCUCAAGCAACCCUGCAACCAAAUAGCAAAUAGUCUCUUGUGUCCCCAACACACCCAAUACAAUGGUAAAUUGUAUAGGUGCACCAGUUCGGCGAAGAGAUGAUGAUACAAGUGCAAUAUGGAUGGUAGAUAUAGGUUUUUGUAAUAUGAAAAUAUGAAAACAGCAAGGUAACUAAUGAUAAAAGAAAGUGAAAACGAUAUUGCAAUGCUUUGAAACAAGGCCUAGGGUUCAUACUUUCACUAGUGCAAGUUCUCUCAGCAAUAAUAACAUAAUUGGAUCAUAUAACUAUCCCUCAACAUGCAACAAAGAUUCACUCCAAAGUCACUCAUAGUGGAGAACAAACGAAGAGAUUAUUGUAGGGUACGAAACCACCUCAAAGUUAUUCAUUCUGAUCGAUCUAUUCAAGAGUUCGUAGUAAAAUAACACGAAGCUAUUCUUUCCGUUCGAUCUAUCCUAGAGUUCGUACUAGAAUAACACCUUAAGACACAAAUCAACCAAAACCCUAAUGUCGCCUAGAUACUCCAAUGUCACCUCAAGUAUCCGUGGGUAUGAUUAUAUGAUAUGCAUCACACAAUCUCAGAUUCAUCUAUUCAACCAACACAAAGAACUUCAAAGAGUGCCCCAAAGUUUCUACCGGAGAGUCAAGACGAAAACGUGUGCCAACUCCUAUGCAUAAGUUCACAAGGUCACAGAACUCGCAAGUUGAUCACCAAAACAUACAUCAAGUGGAUCACGUGAAUAUCCCAUUGUCACCACAGAUAAGCACAUGCAAGACAUACAUCAAGUGUUCUCAAAUCCUUAAAGACUCAAUCCGAUAAGAUAACUUCAAAGGGAAAACUCAAUUCAUCACAAGAGAGUAGAGGGGGAGAAACAUCAUAAGAUCCAACUAUAAUAGCAAAGCUCAUGAUACAUCAAGAUCGUUCCAAAUGAAGAACACGAGAGAGAGAGAGAGAUCAAACACAUAGCUAUUGGUACAUACCCUCAGCCCCGAGGGUGAACUACUCCCUCCUCGUCAUGAAGAGCGCCGGGAUGAUGAAGAUGGACACCGGUGAUGGAUCCCCCCUCCAGCAGGGUGCCGGAAUGGGUCUAGAUUGGUUUUUGGUGGCUACGGAGGCUUGCGGCAGCGGAACUCCCGAUCUAGGUUAUUUUUUGGAGGUUUCUGUAUUUAUAGAAAUUUUUGGCGUCGGGAACAAGUCAGGGAGGUCCCCGAGUCGUCCACGAGAUAGGGCGGCACGCCCGGGGGGGGGGGGGUAGGGCGCGCCCCCACCUUCUUGGAUGGCCUGGGACUCUUCUGGCCCAACUAUUUUACUCCGAGGUCUUCUUUUGGUCCAUAAAAAAUCAUCAAAAAUUGGCACGUCAAUUGGACUCCGUUUGGUAUACCUUUUCUGUAAAACUCAAAACAAGGGAAAAACAAAAACUGACAUUGGGCUCUAGGUUAAUAGGUUAGUCCCAAAAAUCAUAUAAAAUAGCAUAUAAAUGCGUAUAAAAUAUCCUAGAUGGAUAAUAUAAUAGAAUGGAACAAUCAAAAAUUAUAGAUACGUUGGAGACGUAUCAAGCAUCCCCAAGCUUAAUUCCUGCUCGUCCUCGAGUAGGUAAACGAUAAAACAGAUUUUUUGACGUGGAAUGCUACCUAACAUAUUUAUCAAUAUAAUUUUCUUUAUUGUGGCAUGAAUGUUCAAAUCUGAAAGAUUCAAGACAAAAGUUUAUUGGCAUAAAGAUAAAAAUACUUCAAGCAUGCUAACCAAGCAAUUAUAUCUUCUCAAAAUAACAUAGCCAAAGAAAGCUCAUCCCUACAAAAUCAUAUAGUUUGGCCAUGCUUUAUUUCUGUCACACAAAAUGCCCCAUCAUGCACAACCCCGAUGACAAGCCAAGCAAUUGUUUCAUAUGUAGCCUUUUCAAACUUUUUCAACUUUCACGCAAUAUAUGAGCGCGAUCCAUGGACAUAGCACUAUGGGUGGAAUAGAAUAUGAUGAUGGAGGUUGUGUGAGAAGACAAAAGGAGAAAGUCUCACAUUGACGCGGCUAAUCAAUAGGCUAUGGAGAUGCCCAUCAAUUGAUGUCAAUGCAAGGAGUAGGGAUUGCCAUGCAAUGGAUGCACUAGAGCUAUAAAUAUAUGAAAGCUCAACAAAAGAAACUAAGUGGGUGUGCAUCCAACUUGCUUGCUCAUGAAGACCUAGGGCAUUUUGAGGAAGCCCAUCAUUGGAAUACACAAGCCAAGUUCUAUGAUGAAAAAUUCCCACUAGUAUAUGAAAGUGACAAAAUAAGAGACUCUCUAUCAUGAAGAUCAUGGUGCUACUUUGAAGCACAAGUGUGGAAAAAGGAUAGUAACAUUUCCCCUUCUCUCUUUUUCUCUCGUUUUUUAUUUGGGGCCUUUUUUGGCUGCUUUUAUAUUUAUUUAUUUUUCGUCCGGAAUCUCAUCCCGACUUGUGGGGGAAUCAUAGUCUCCAUCAUCCUUUCCUCGCAUGGGACAAUGCUCUAAUAAUGAAAUUCAUCACACUUUUAUUUACUUACAACUCAAAAAUUACAACUCGAUACUUAGAACAAAAUAUGACUCUAUGUGAAUGCAUCCGGCGGUGUAUCGGGAUGUGCAAUGAAUCAAGAGUGACAUGUAUGAAAGAAUUAUGAAGGUGGCUUUGCCACAAAUACAAUGUCAACUUCAUGAUCAUGCAAAGCAAUAUGACAAUGAUGGAGCGUGUCAUAAUAGACAGAGAAGUGGAAAGUUGCAUGGCAAUAUAUCUCGGAAUGGCUAUGGAAAUGCCAUAAUAGGUAGGUAUGGUGGCUGUUUUGAGGAAGAUAUAAGGAGGCUUAUGUGUGAUAGAGCGUAUCAUAUCACGGGGUUUGGAUGCACCGGCGAAGUUUGCACCAACUCUCGAGGUGAGAAAGGGCAAUGCACGGUACCGAAGAGGCUAGCAAUGAUGGAAGGGUGAGAGUGUGUAUAAUCCAUGGACUGAACAUUAGUCAUAAAGAACUCACAUACUUAUUGCAAAAAUCUACAAGUCAUCAAAACCAAGCACUAAUUCUCCUAGGGAGAUAGAUUGGUAGGAAAAGACCAUCGCUCGUCCCCGACCGCCACUCAUAAGGAAAGCAAUCAAAGAACACCUCAUGCUUCAAAUUUGUCACACAACGGUUACCAUACGUGCAUGCUAUGGGACUUGCAAACCUCAACACAAGUAUUUCUCAAUUUCACAAUUACUCAACUAGCACGACUCUAAUAUCACUAUCUUUAUAUCUCAAAACAAUUAUCAAGUAUCAAACUUCUCAUGGUAUUCAAUGCACUCUAUAUGGAAGUGUUUAUUAUACCCAUCUUGGAUGCCUAUCAUAUUAGGACUAAUUUAGCCAAAGAAAAUUACCAUGCUGUUCUAAAAGACUCUCAAAACAAUAUAAGUGAAGCAUGAGAGAUCAAUAAUAUCUAUAAAAUAAAACCACCACCGUGCUCUAAAAAGAUAUAAGUGAAGCACUAGAGCAAAUGACAAACUACUCCAAAAGAUAUAAGAGAAGAUCAAUGAGUAGUCGAAUAAUUAUGUAACUAUCUGAAGACUCUCUAACAUUUAAGAAUUUCAGAUCUUGGUAUUUUAUUCAAACAGCAAGCAAAACAAAAGAAAAUAAAAUGACGCUCCAAGAAAAACACAUAUCAUGUGGUGAAUAAAAAUAUAGCUCCAAGUAAGGUUACCGAUGAACAAAGACACAAGAGGGGAUGCCUUCUGGGGCAUCCCCAAGCUUAGGCUCUUGCCACUGCUUAUUCCAUAGUCCAUCGAAUCUUUACCCAAAACUUGCAAACUUCACAACACAAAACUCAACAGAAAACUCGUAAGCUCCAUUAGUAUAAGAAAGCAAAUCACCACUUAGGUACUGUCAAGACAAGAUUCGUAAUAUUUCUCACAUGAAGCCUACUAUACCAUACCAUUUCUACAAUUUAUAUUAAGCAAUAUAAGCCAUAGAAACUAGAAAACAAGCAAACUAUGUGUCAAAAACAGAAUCUGUCAAAAACACAACAGUCUGUAGUAAUCUGGAGAAUUCGAAUACUUCUGUAACUCAAAAAAUUCUGAAAAAUUAGGAAGACCUAAAUAAUUUGUAUAUUGAUCUACUGCAGUUGUAAUUGGUAUUUUAUCGUUCCCUGGUAAAAAAUGAAAAUCAUUCUCGUGAGCACAUACUUUCUAUUUUUUUCAGCAAGAUCAAACAACAAUCACCCAAGAAGAUCCUAAAGGCUUUACUUGGAACAAACACUAAUUAAACAUAAAAAAUCAUAACAGAGGCUAGAUGAAUUACUUAUUACUAAACAGGAACAAAAAGUAAAGAACAAAAAUAAAAUUGGGUUGCCUCCCAACAAGCGCUAUCGUUUAACGCCCCUAGCUACGCAUGAUGAUUUCAAUGAUGCUCACAUAAAAGAUAAGAAUUGAAACAUAAAGAGAGCAUCAUGAAGAAUAUGACCAGCACAUUUAAGUCUAACCCACUUCCUAUGCAUAGGUAUUUUGUGAGCAAACAACUUAUGGGAACAAUAAUCAACUAGCAUAGGAAGGCAAAACAAGCAUAACUUUAAAACUUUAAGCACAUAGAGAGAAAACUUGAUAUUAUUGCAAUUCCUACAAGCAUAUAUUCCUCCCCCAUAAUAAAUUUUAGUAGCAUCAUGAAUGAAUUCAACAAUAUAACCAUCACAUAAAACAUUCUUUUCAUGUUCUACAAGCAUAGAAAAUUUACUAUUCUCCACAUAAGAAAAAUUCUUCUCAUUCGGAAUAGUGGGAGUAUCAUAAGAAACUUGAAUACUAUAAAUUGUUUCCACAUUAAAGGAGUAAUGUUCAGAAAAAGGGUAAUCAUAAUCAUGACAAGUUUUAUAAAUAUAAUCAUCACUACUUUUUAUAGCAUAAGUGUCAUCACAGUAAUCAUCAUAAGUGGCAACUUUGUUCUCAUCAUAAUCAAUUGGAACCUCUUCCAAGAUAGUGGAAUCAUUACUAAAUAAAGUCAUGACCUCUCCAAAUCCACUUUCAUAAUUUUCACAAUAAGAUUCAACACCCUCCAAAAUAGUGGGAUCAUUACUUCCUAAAGUUGACACUCUUCCAAACCCACUUUCAUCAAUAUAACCAUCAUAAAUAGGAGGCAUGCUAUCAUCAUUAUAAAUUUGCAUAUCAAAACUUGGGAGGUUAAAUACAUCAUCUUCAUGAAACAUAGCAUCCCCAAGCUUGGGACAAACAUUAAUUGCAGCAAAUAAAUUCUCAAACAUGUCAUUCUCAUCAUACAUAGCAUCCCCAAGCUUGGGCCUUUUCAUAUCAUAAGCAUAAUCACUCUCAUCAUUAAUAGUAUGGAUAGCACCAAUAGUACAACAAUUAUCAUCAUCACAAUGAGUAAUAGGAGCAACAUCAUUUGGGAGGGAUACCUUUUUACCUUUGCUUCUCCGUCUUUUCUUUUUAUUAUUCACAUUAUGUGUGGGUUUAAUCCUCUUUUUGGAGCUCCUUAUUAAUGAGAUUGGUUGAAUAGAAGGCUCCUCCUCGUUACCUAAUCCAUCAUAAGAAAUAAUAUGAGGAUAUUGGGAAGUCUCUUCCCUUUCAUUAGUAUUCUCUUCAUCUUGUAUUUGUUUUCUUGUCUUUAUGUAAUUCACAAUAUAAGGAUUUUCAAUGCAAUUCACCGCACAAUACAUAUAAAUUUCCUCUAGAUCAAAAUCAAGAACUUUACCAAGGACAAAUUCUGGAAGAUCCUUAGUUAUACGUUUCAUUUCUUCAUAACCCACAAGCAAACUAAGUUCAUUAUGAUGUGCAAGGGAAAUCAAGUCAUCACAAUUUUUCGACACGAUUCAAUCAUGAAACAAUUUGCAUUGGAUAUUUAAAUGACCAUGUUCAUUGCAAAGUUCACAAGGAUGGCUAAGAAAAUUUAAAUUUUCAGCACAAGCAUUUAGCCUCUCUUGCAACCAUUUAGUUUCUAAAUACUUAUGCCUCUUGCAAAAUCCAUCUUCCCUAUUUGCUGUGUGCUUGCAAGCUCUAUGCACUCCACAAAAAUUGACAUGCUUAUAAGAGACAUUUCAUCAUGAGUACUACAAUCAUCAUUAGUACUAUGGAUAUUCAAAGAGUUCGUACUAACAACAUUACAAUCAUGCUCAUAAUUCAAAGGUUUAGUGUCAAACAUUUUAAUGCAUUCUUCUUCUAGCACUUUGGCACAAUUAUCGGAAUCAUUAUUUUCAGGAAAGAUAUUAAAAAGAUGAAGCAUAUGCGGCAACCUUAAUUCCAUUUUUUGUAGUUUUCUUUUAUAGACUAAACUAGUGAUAAACAAGAAACUAAAAGAUUCGAUUGCAAGAUCUAAUUGUAUACCUUCAAGAGCUAACCUCCCCGGCAAGGAUGCCAGGAAAGAGCUUGAUGUCUACUACACAUCCUUCUUCUAGUAGACGUUGUUGGGCCUCCAAGUGCAGAGGUUUGUAGGACAAUAGCAAAUUUCCCUCAAGUGGAUGACCUAAGGUUUAUCAAUCCAUGGGAGGCGUAGGAUGAAGAUGGUCUCUCUCAAGCAAGUCUGCAACCAAAUAGAAAAGAGUCUCUUUUGUCCCCAACACACUAAUGUCUACUACACAACCUUCUUCUUGUACACAUUGUUGGGCCUCCAAGUGUAGAGGUUUGUAGGACAGUAGCAAAUUUCCCUCAAGUGGAUGACCUAAGGUUUAUCAAUCCGUGGGAGGCGUAGGAUGAAGAUGGUCUCUCUCAAACAACCCUGCAACCAAAUAGCAAAGAGUCUCUUGUGUCCCCAACACACCCAAUAUAAUGGUAAUUGUAUAGGUGCACCAGUUAGGCGAAGAGAUGGUGAUACAAGUGCAAUAUGGAUGGUAGAUAUAGGUUUUUGUAAUAUGAAAAUAUAAAAACAGCAAGGUAACUAAUGAUAAAAGUGAGCGUAAACGAUAUUGCAAUGCUAGGAAACAACGCCUAGGGUUCAUACUUUCACUAGUGCAAGUUCUCUCAACAAUAAUAACAUAAUUGGAUCAUAUAACUAUCCCUCAACAUGCAACAAAGAGUCACUCCAAAGUCACUAAUAGCGGAGAACAAACAAAGAGAUUAUUGUAGGGUACGAAACCACCUCAAAGUUAUCCUUUCUGAUCGAUCUAUUCAAGAGUCCGUAGUAAAAUAACACGAAGCUAUUCUUUCUGUUCAAUCUAUCCUAGUGUUCAUACUAGAAUAACACCUUAAGACACAAAUCAACCAAAACCCUAAUGUCACCUAGUACUCCAGUGUCACCUCAAGUAUCCGUGGGUAUGAUUAUACGAUAUGCAUCACACAAUCCCAGAUUCAUCUAUUCAACCAACACAAAGAACUUCAAAGGGUACCCCAAAGUUUCUACCGGAGAGUCAAGACGAAAACGUGUGCCAACCCCUAUGCAUAAGUUCAUGAGGUCACAGAACUCGCAAGUUGAUCACCAAAACAUACAUCAAGUGGAUCACGUGAUAUGCCAAUAUUACCACGGAUAAGCACAUGCAAUACAUACAUCAAGUGUUCUCAAAUCCUUAAGGACUCAAUCCGAUAAGAUAACUUCAAAGGGAAAACUCAAUUCAUCACAAGAGAGUAGAGGGGGAGAAACAUCAUAAGAUCCAACUAUAAUAGCAAAGCUCGUGAUACAUCAAGAUCGUGCCGAAUCAAGAACACAAGAUAGAGAGAUCAAACACAUAGCUACUGGUACAUACCCUCAGCCCCGAGGGUGAACUACUCCCUCCUCGUCAUGGAGAACGUCGGGAUGAUGAAGAUGGCCACCGGAGAGGGAUUCCCCCCUCCGGCAGGGUGCCAGAACGGGUCUAGAUUGGUUUUCGGUGGCUACGGAGGCUUCUGGCGGCGGAACUCCCGAUCUAGGUUAUGUUCUGGAAGUUUUGGGUUAUAUAAGAGGUGUUGGAGUCGGGAAUAAGUCAGGGGGGUUUUCGGGCUGUCCACGAGGUAGGGAGGCACGCCCCCACCCUCGUGGGCAGACCGGGACUCUUUUGGCCCAACUCUUUUACUCCAUGGCCUUCUUCUGGUCCAAAAAUAAGUUCCGUGAAGUUUCAGGUCAAUUGGACUCCGUUCGAUUUUCCUUUUCUGUAAAACUAAAAAAAAA